rnacentral:lncRNA from 1 species
AUCUCAUUCAAAGUCCCUAGACUUAACCAUUUUCAAGCGACUAAGUCACCUAACCAACCACAUUCAAAACAACAAAAUCCCAUUAGAAGUCCCUAGUCUUAACCAUUUGCAAGCGACUAAGUCACCUAACAAACCACAUUCAAAACAAUAAAAUCUCAUUCAAAGUCCCUAGACUUAACCAUUUUCAAGCGACUAUGUCACCUAACAAACCACAUUCAAAAUAAAAAAAUCCCAUUGAAAGUACCUAAACUUAACCAUUAUCAAGCAACUAAGUCACCUAACAAACCACAUUCUAAAUUAAAAAAUCACCUUGAAAGUACCUAAACUUAACAAACCACAUUCUAAACAAAAAAAUCUCAUUUAAAGUCCCCAGACUUAACAAUUUUUAAGUGACAAAGUCACUUAACAAACCACAUUCUAAAUUAAAAAAUCACCUUGAAAGUACCUAAACUUAACCAUUAUCAAGCAACUAAGUCACCUAACAAACCACAUUCAAAAUAAAAAAAAUUCAUUUAAAGUCCCUUCACUUAACCAUUAUCAAGCAACUAAGUCACCAAACAAACCACAUUCUAAACAAAAAAUCCCAUUUAAAGUUCCUACACUUAACUAUUUUCAAGUGACUAUGUCACCUAACAAACCACAUUCAAAACAAAAAAAUCUCAUUUAAAGUCCCUACACUUAACCAUUUUCAAGUGACUAAGUCACCAAACAAACCACAUUCUAAAUGAAUAAAUCACCUCUAAAGUUCCUACACUUAACCAUUUUCAAGUGAGUAUGACAACCUAACAAAUCACAUUCUAAACAGAAAAAUCACCUCUAAAAUUCCUACACUUAAUCUUUUUCAAGUAACUAAGUCACCUAACAAACCACAUUCUAAACAAAAAAAUGCUAGUGAAUCGAACAAGGCCACACACGACUUCACUAGACUUCAAUAUAAUAAUAACAAGAACAUAACAACAAUGCUAGUGAAUCGAACAAGCCACACACGGUUUCACUAGACUUCAAUAUGAACAAUAACAAGAAGAUAAAAAUAAUAGUGAAUUGAGAGAAAUUAACUUACCUUUGCUUGGCCUAAAUUAAAGUGAAAGAGAUAACCGGUCACCGAAUCAAGAACCUAAAAAAAUCAAGACAAAAUAUUCCAACUUUGAGUGAUUUAGCAAAACUCAUAUGCUAAUUUUGGAUUAUAAAACAACAAGCUAACAAACUAAACCAUAAAAGUAAUUUUGGACUUCCAAGGUUGUUUUUGGGAUCAAAUGUGCUAAUUCAAGUUUCUUAUUGCAAGCAUAGUCAAUUUCCAUGUUUAAUAUUCAUAGAACCUUGAUUUAGCAUCUUAUAUUAAAGCUACGAAGAGUUAACUUAACCCACCGAGCGCUAUUCCUUACACCUAUCUCGAAACACUACUCCGCUUCUAUGACCAUUAUAAUGUGGAAACUAUGAGUAAGUGACAUGGACAAACCAUAUCCAACCAUCACAACCAAAACCACCAACCUAUAGUUGAACACCCAAAACUGUAACUCUAGUUCACAAUGGAUAGUCACCACCUAUUCCCUUCCUAGCAAUUAGUUAGACACUAAUGAAGAACCAUCCUAACCAAAAAAUACCACAAAAAGGAUUCCUUUGAAAUCGAUAUUAAAAUAAACACAAAAACCACAAAAUACAACAAAAUUCAUACCUGGGAUAAGCUGUGGUCACCGGAACAGUGGACGGAGCACUCGCCGAGGCAGUGGUUAGGGUGAUUUUUGCGUAAUUUUUACGUUUGGGAAAUCAAUUUGGGAGUGUUUAGGGUUUACGUGCAUUUUGUGUGUGUCUGUGUGUGUUUUGCUGUGUUUAGGUCGUAGAAAAUAGGUAGGGUAGGGUCGGGGUCGGGUCAUGUGGGGGUUGGUCGGGUAGGAGUUAUAUAAUAAUUUUUUUUAUUAUUUCAUUAAAAACCGACCACUUGUGGUCGAUUUUCUGGAUAUUUAAUAAAAAUCAACCACAUGUGGUCGGUUUUUAAUGAAAUAAAAAGAAAUUAUUUUAAUUACUACAAUUAAUAAAUCAAUAAAUUAAUAAAUUAAAAUUAAUUUUAAACAAAUAAAUUUUUUAAUUAACUAUAUAAAUUAAUUUUAAUAUCAACGAAUUUUGUAAUUUACAAUAAAUUUUUGAUUAAUUAGCUUUUAAUUACGAUAUUAAGAGAGGGAGAGAAUAUGUUAAUAAAAUAAAUUAUUGAUUACUUGUCUUACGUUAUUACAAUUUCAACAAUAUAUGUGUAUCUACAUAUUGACACUAAAUAGUAUAUAGAUUCAGUUAUCGAGUUUUCGAUUAUUGCAUACGUCGCUACACGAUAUAUACAUAUAUAUACCUAUAUUCAAUUGUCUAUCAACUUUCAAAUAAGUACUAUAAACAUCACAUGCACGAUUUUAAUUAAUAUAAUACCCCAUAUUAAUAAUAUAUAACGUAUUUCACAUAUAGGGGUCAGAUGAAUUAUUGGUUAGUUUUAUUUUAUGUCAUUAAUAUGCCUUCACUAUAUAAUUAUUUGGCAUGGUCGUUCAAUGUUCUGUUUUCCCCUCCCCUGCUUCCUUCCUUCCUCUCUCAUAUACCUCGUAAUACUAGUCUUACGUUAUUACAACUAUUAAAACAUACACGUUUCUAAAUUGACCAAAAAUAGUAUAUGUACUUCCUCAAUAGUUUGAUAUAUAUCAACGUAAAGUGUCAAUCAAACUAUUUUGAUAUAUAUAUAUAGAUUCAAUUACCUAGCUUUCUAUUACUACAUACGUCACUAUACGAGAUAUACGUAUAUAAACAUACAUUCAAUUGUCUAUCAGCUUUAAAAUACGUACAAUAAACAUCAUAAACACGAUUUUACAUAUGUACUCUAUAAUAAUAUACAACGUAUUUCACAAAUACUUGGAUGAACUAUAGAUUACAUUAUCUUUUGUCAUUAAUAGAACACGUUCAUUAUAUUCUGAUGAAUUAUCGGUUAUAUAUUACAUUAUUAUGUCUGUAAAUACGUACUAUAAAACAUCGCCUUUCAAAUACGUACUAUAAAGAUCAGUUUUUAUCUUUCAAUUAUGUAUGCGGAGGAUUUCAAUGGUCUAACCCAACGGUAUGAUGAUAUAUACGUACUAUAAAGAUCAGUUUUCCAAAACUUUUUUUCAACAUCACUAUUAAAUUGAAAUGUUCAUACAACUCUCAAAAUCACCCAUCCCUACUCUGACCCUCAAUCUCCCACCCCAACCCCCAACCCCUACCAUUCAAAACUUUUUUCUUAUCCCACUCUUUUGAUCAUAUUCAUUCUCAAUCUUUUUGUUAAAUAUAUACAAAUACUUUUAGAAAACAUAUACUUAUCCAAUUUGCAUAACAAACACACAAAUAUAAGUAGGGCUGGGCAUAUUUUGGUUUAAAUAGAAAAAAUCAAAAAACCGAAUCGAAAUUUAAUUUUGGUUUGGUUUUUCGACUUUCCGGAUUGGUUUUGAUUUCAAAUUUUAGAAAUUUAAUUAAACGGUUUGGUUUUCGAAAUUUUCAAAAAAAAAUUGAAUAAAUCGAAAAAUUAAAAUUAUAUAAAUAUAUAAAUUAUAAUCAUUUAGUAAACCCAAAUCCUAAUAUGUUGUUUUGCUUUUGACCGUAAUAGUAACGUGAAGGCUACAACGACGCUCAUCCAUCCUCAGUUCAUUUGAAAUUUCAACAUCGCCAAUGACAGUUGCGUUCAUCACUGCCGUCGACAGUCGCUGCCGCGUGCGGCCAUUCUUGUCACACCAACGGUGAUGACUCGGCGAAGUCGAUAUUUAUGAUUAUUUUAUUCGUGUUGAAUUAAUUAUAUUUGAGAAUGAAAAUAAGUUUGAAAAAAGAUUAUUUUUCUAGAAAAAUCACCAAUUUUAAAUGGUCACUACUUUAAUCUUCAAAAUCGAAAUAAAAAUACGAAAUAACCGAACCGAAUCUGUAAAAGCCGAACCAAACCGAAAUAAUUUUGGUUUGGUUAUGAUUGUUAUUUUCGUCAAUCAGAAAAUCGUACCGAUAUUCAACAAUCAAACCGAACAAACUAAAUGCUCCCUAAAUAUAAGUAAGAAACAACUUAUUUUUUUAGAAAAUAUUUCUCCUCCUUCAUAUCGAACACACCCCAAAAAAUAUUUUUUGAGAUCAAAAAAUAUUUUUCUAAAAUGUAUUUUUAUGCUUUAACUAAAGAUUAAAUUAUUUUUUGAAAAUUAUUUUUUCAUUUUCUAACCAAACAUUACAAAAUAUUUUCCAGAAAAUAUUUUCUAUCCACCAACCAAACAUAGGAAAAUAAGUAAAAAAUCAACUUGUUUUCCAAGAAAACAUUUUCUAGGAAAACAUUUUCCUUCAUACCAAACACACCCAUAGAGACUCAGUUUAUAACUUUUUGACUUAUGUUCUUCUUUUUGACUUAAAAAAUAAUUGUUUAAAAGUUAAAACGAAAAAAAGGAUAAAUAUACCUCUUAACUAUGAUAAAUGGUAUGCAUAUAUCCUCUGUCAUCAUAUGAAUAUACAUAUAUCUCUACUAUUAAUAAAAUGAUACGUAUAUACCCCUCACACUAAUAGUAUAGACAUAUGUGUACCCCAAACUAUGACGAAAAGUAUAUGCAUACCAUUUAUCUGGUAUAGUUGUUCCUUUUUUCAUUUUAAAUUUUGUAUUCCAAAUAAUUAACCCAAACCCAUUACCCGACCCAAUAAACCCAUCGAACUUAAUUUCAAAUUAACUCGAUCCGACCUCUAUUUUUUGUUCCAAACUCAAUACUCUCUUUGUGUUUUUCUUAAACAUGAACACCAAUAAUCAAAUUGCAGUGAUUGAUCGUUGUUAUUAGUUGGUGUUUACUGGUCGAAGGUAGUGGAGAUUAGGUCAGAAUUGAUCGAAGCUGGCGGUGAGACGAUGGUUCACUGGGGGAGGGGGUGUUUCUGCUUCGACGGAGAUGGUGGCUAUGUGGUGUUGACCGAUGGUGGGUAGUGUGUUUCCGACAAAAUUUUGCUGAAAAUUGAAAUGUAAGGGGUUCAACUUAUAUAUUUGGUGUUUUUUUGAGUGUUAUGGGUUAAUGAUUUUUUAAAAAAAAUUGAUAGUAGUAAGUGAUAUUGUAUUUUGUGUGUAAUCAUUAUAGAGAUGAGAAAAACGCGUUUGUUAGAUAGGUGUCUCUUGGAUUUUAAUCGAAAUUGAAUUGGGUAGUGGGUUUAUUGGGUCGGGGAGAGGGUUUGAGUUAAUUAUUUGGGAUAAAAAUGAAAACAAAUACACUCCCGAGCUUUGAUAAAUGGUAUGUAUAUACCUUUCAUCAUAUUUUGAGUGUACAUAUGCCCCUACCGUUAGUGUGAGGGGUAUAUAUGUACUAUUUCAUUAACGGUAGAGACAUACGUGUAAUAAAGUAUGACGAAAGUUUAUACAUAUCAUUUAUCAUAGUUCGAGGAUAUAUUUAUCCUUUUUCCGAAAUUAAAAAUACCUUUUUAUUUUACUCAAACACUAUAAAGUGUUUAAAAAUUAUUUUAAUUUAAAAACAUUAAAAUAAGUUAAUCUAAACAGGCUCUCAGUAUAAGCUGUUUGAGAGUGUAAGACUUAGAAAAUAGAAGAAAGCUUGAAGCAUAAGAAUAUCAGUGUAUUGUUUGGUAUUAUCAAGAAUCCAACUCCCUCCAACAAAAAAUUCAGUUACAUAAAGAAAUGGCUAAGCACUCACUACAUCUAUGAGCUUUCUUUUACAAUUUAAGUUGCUAUUUAAAUUCCCUUCCUAGUCAGUGUGAUUAUAUAUGAGAACUUUCAAACACUUUUCAAUUCCUUGCCUUCCAAAUGUGUUGUAGGACUACUGUCACCUCCUCCUUCUGAAACUGUAUGUUUUCACUUCCUUCUUUGGAUCUAUUGAACCACUUGUUUAACAUUUUGCAAACACAUUGGAAUGCCAGUCUAUAAUCCCGACUCAUGAUUUGGAAAUAGUUAGGUAAUUCUUAAGGAAAUGAAGAGUUUAUUCCAAUUUCAAAGUAGUAUUGAAUAUGUUCACAUAAACAUACAGGGAAGAACGCGUAGGAACUUCUUCAAAGUGGUACAUGAAUAUAUAGCUUGUAUGUUUAGCAGUCUCUUGCAGAAAUGCAAGUUAAGGACAAUAGAUUCUUGUGGUCCGGCUCUUUCCCGGACCUCUCGCAUGUUGUAAAUCUUACGGAAAAUACUCAACACGAACACUUGUAGGAAAUCCUUCAUAGCUUGAGGCGUGCUUCUGUCAUUGUCCUUAAGGAUAUUUCACCCGGUAUGGGUAUAUCUCUCAGGAUUCAACGAGUUCUACUAACACAAACUAGGAGGCAGAAACUAACAAAGAUUCAUAAGAAUAAUAGCCUAGCACAAGAAAAGAAUGAAGAGAAAGAGAGUGUCGGUUAUACUCAUCCCAAAAGUAAAGUUAGAAGGAAAACAUAUAGGCCAAAAGAUGGAGACCAACGUUCUCAUAGUAAGUCAACGUACCAGUAAUGGUGAUUUCUAAUGAAUGGAAUAUUAUGAUUGUAGAAUGCAAUAGAAAACAAGAUUAAUGGCAAUAAAAAGAGUUAAUGCUAAUUAAUAACAUUAAAGUCAUAUUAGAGUGAAAGCCAAUAAAGACUAUUCAUGGAGAAAAAAAUUGGUCAUAUUAAAGGCUCAUUAUCAAGAUAUUAAGGAAUGAACCUAGACAUCAAUAAAAUAAAUUCUUUUUGAGAUACCCCUUUAUUUUUCCAACCGUGCAUAGCCGAAGCUUUAGUGCACCGGCUAACCCCUUACAUAAACAUACAGGUAAAAACUCGAACUAACAUGAACUGAAGGGCUCAGGCUCUAAGGAGUGACAAUAGGAAAAUGCUGUAGAGCAACUACAACGAAACAGUUACACAAAUUCACCAACAGGAUGAAUGGACAUAACGAAAAAUUCUCCAAAAGUACAUUGAUCACAGCUGUUCCCACGUUCAUUUGGGGUAAACUUUAGUAUUGCUAAACUUGAAAGCUACUGCCCUCUUCUCAUAAUAAGGUUUCACCGGCUUUGUUUUUACAUCUAGUUUCUUUUGAUAACAAAUGUUUUAUGUUCUUUGCAAUAAUCUUAUAUAACAAGGAGCAAAGUUUGUCUUAAAAAAGAGGGCUUCACUGCGAGAGAGAACAAGAACAACUACAAGAACGUGGUGGGAGGAGAGUUCCAUGUUCAUCUGUAGAGGAUUUUAACUAGAUUGUUAGUGCGCGAUAAGCUGAAUUAUAUUCCAAAUAUUAGCACAAUUUAUAUCAGGUAAAAUGUCAAUCGUCUUUAGCUUUAAGGUCCUAAUUGGGAAAAUAACUACUGAAAAUGAUUAUUCUUUUCCAGUAUGAAAUCUAUUUUUAACGUUUUGCUUUGUAUUUGUGCUUUUAUAGAUAACUAAAUUUUCGAACUAGUUUUCAGAAGCAAGUGAGAAUAUGAAUAUGAUUAAAGUUGGCCCAGCGGGAGGAAGUGGUGGAACCAUUUGGGAUGAAAAGGGACGAGACCAAGUUGCUGGGAUUGUUGUUACCUACAAGGAAUACUCAGUUCACGCACUUCAGUUCCUGUUUUAUGAAAAUGGCAACUUAGUUCUGUCAAACAAGCACGGGGAUCAUCGCUGUGAAAACUUCCGUGCAGUUCUGUUUGAUUAUUCAUCAGAGUUCAUUACUUCCAUAAGCGGUUGUUUCAAAAAAUCGUAUGAUUUUACAAAGCUGAAAAGUAUAAGUUUUGGAACCAACAAGGGUUCCUAUGGACCAUUUGGGUCUACCGCUACUUCAACUGAUGACAUGGACUUCAACUUUAAGCUAGGAAAUCAUCGUCUUUUUGGUGGUUUUCAUGGUAGCAAAACCGACUAUGGCGUUGAGAGUAUUGGGAUCUAUGUGAAGCCCAUCACGAAAGAUCCUCAAGUUAAGGCUGAAAAAAGUUUACUACCACCCAGCAUACGAAUUUGAGAAUUCAACUCUUAUGCCUACUUAUGGUUUUACUUUUGCACAGUCGAUCUACAGCUUGGUGCUUGGUCAUUAUGUAAAGCUUUAUCUGUUUGAGUUUGAUAUGAUUUUGACAAAAGGUUAAUGGUUGAUGGAAAAGCUUAAAUAGCUUGUUUGGAUGGUUGUUACCUAUUGUAUUGUAUUGUAUUGUAUGGUUGAAUAUAAUGUUUGUUUUGUGUUAAGUUUUAUUGUAUUAUAUGGUUAAAUUUAUUGCUAUGAUACAAACUAACACUGAAAGUUGCUAUUUUAUGUGAUGAUAAAUCUGUUGUGAUUGUGAUGUUGCCUUAUUUGUCCCUCCAUUUUAUUAUUUAAUUAUUUUAUUUUACCUUUUUAUCCUUUAUAUAUAUAUAUUUUUUUUUUUUUGUAAGAGUUUUAAGUUUUGUGCACUGUGAAUGUCAAUGUACAAAAUAUAGUAUACUAUCAAGUAAAGUCUUUGUUACAAGAUCUCUUCAUCUUUCCUUGAAGUCGUCAUUCCUUCUUUAUGUUGUCUUAUUUAAUGUGGCUAUUGUGAUGGUUUUGAUGUAUAUAUGGCAACCCGUAUGGAUCCUGCAUGAAGCUCGGAAGACGAUAAGGAAUGUGGACCUACUAGUAUCUUGUGCAAGUCUGUUACGUUUUGUACUCUAACGCGUUCAUGUAAAACAGGAAAAUAAAGAAAAAUUUUAAAGCCUAAACUACAACUGCUAUCCUUUUUGAGUUUUCUCUAAGCAAGUGUUUGCUGCUAUGGAUGGUGCAGAAGUUUGUUGCUGUGAUUUAUGACCUUUGGAUCAUAAGUAAUGGGAGUAUAUUUCAGGACAAAAGCACAGAUACAACUUCUCCAUUGUAUGUUACUUAAUUUUUGUAUUUGUGUAAGGGCUAACAAUGCUAUGACUUGAGUUUUAAUACUUUGCACCUAAGGUGCUCGGACUCCUAAGAUGUUGCUCUUUUCAUUUCGGAUCUGUCAAUUUGUGAGGGCUUGUGACCAAUGCCAGCAGAAGAAAAGAAAAAAAAAAAAAAAAGAAGAUUGCUCAAAUUAUAUAUAUAAAGUACUUUAUUAUUUUAAAUGAAAAGCAAAUUAAAUGCAGUAGAUUAGUUUAUAGUUGUUUUUCCUCGUUUUUAAUCUGUUGUUUAGUUUUGUUUUAUCAUGGAAUGUAAGAAAAUAAAAUAAAAAAUUAAUAAAAAAAAAAUUAGUCUGAUGGUCUCAAACUAAUGAUGGAUAGAAUGUAUUAAUUGGCUAGAUCUAUAUAUAUAUAUAUAUAUAAGCGCAAAAUUAAAAGAAGACAAGAUGCCAUAUGGCAGCACAAUAGAAAGCCACGUGUCAGUUUUUAAGACAAGAUUAUGAAUAUUGUAAUAAAAAAUUUGAAUUAAAAUAUAAGAUAUUUGUAUUUAAAAAUAUUAAUUUUAUUUAAAAAAUUAUCAUUAGCUUGAAAUUAGGAACAUAAGCUUAUCCCUUUCAAAUAUAAUUUAAAAUAUAUUCAAAUAUUGAUUNNNNNNNNNNNNNNNNNNNNNNNNNNNNNNNNNNNNNNNNNNNNNNNNNNNNNNNNNNNNNNNNNNNNNNNNNNNNNNNNNNNNNNNNNNNNNNNNNNNNNNNNNNNNNNNNNNNNNNNNNNNNNNNNNNNNNNNNNNNNNNNNNNNNNNNNNNNNNNNNNNNNNNNNNNNNNNNNNNNNNNNNNNNNNNNNNNNNNNNNNNNNNNNNNNNNNNNNNNNNNNNNNNNNNNNNNNNNNNNNNNNNNNNNNNNNNNNNNNNNNNNNNNNNNNNNNNNNNNNNNNNNNNNNNNNNNNNNNNNNNNNNNNNNNNNNNNNNNNNNNNNNNNNNNNNNNNNNNNNNNNNNNNNNNNNNNNNNNNNNNNNNNNNNNNNNNNNNNNNNNNNNNNNNNNNNNNNNNNNNNNNNNNNNNNNNNNNNNAAUAAUAAUAAUAAUAAUAAUAAUAAUAAUAAUAAUAAUAAUAAUAAUAAUAAUAAUAAUAAUAAUAAUAAUAAUAAUAAUAAUAAUAAUAAUAAUAAUAAUAAUAAUAAUAAUAAUAAUAAUAAUAAUAAUAAUAAUAAUAAUAAUAAUAAUAAUAAUAAUAAUAUAAGUAAAAAGUUAAUAUUUUUAAUAAAAAAUGAUAAAAUAAAAUAAAUAGGGAAAAAUAUGAAAAAAAUUAAAAUAAAUUGAUAGUAAUAUUUUAAUAUUGAUAACAUUAAUUUGAAAUAUUCUAUUUUAUUACAUUUAUUUUUAUUAUAGAAAACACCUAAUUGGUAUCAUUAAUUUCAAAUAUAUAAUUUUUGCAAACUCAAAAUAUCGAAUACUGUAAGAUAAUUAUGUCAUUUUAGAGUCAUCUUUCUAGUAUUCUAAAAAUUUUAAAAUCUUGAAUUUGAAAUGCAUUAUCUUUUUUUUCUAAAAUAAAAAAAAAUCAUUAUCAUUAACUUGAAAUUAAGGAACAUAACUUAUCUCUUUCAAAUCCCUUUCAAAUAUAAUUUAAAAUAUAUUCAAAUAUUAAAUAAAAAAUAAAAUAUUAACCUAAAUAAUAAUAAUAAUAAUAAUAGUAAUAACAAUUAGUAGAAGUUUACCAAGAAAAAAAUAGUAGAAGAAGCCGCAAUGCGUGAGAUAUAAUAAUAAUAACAAUAAUAAUAAUAAUAUAAGAUUUUAAGAAAUUAAUAUUUUUAAUACAAAUGAUAAAAGAGAACAAAAAGAAAAAACAUGUCAAAAAUAAUAAUUAGUAGAAGUUUACCAAGAAAAAAAUAGUAGAAGAAGAAGCAAUACGUGGGAUAUAAUAAUAAUCUAUCUAUAUAUAAUAAAGCAAAAAAAUUUGCAUAAAAUUAUGCCAAGUGGCAUAUUGAGACCUAGCCAAUUGGUAUUUUGGCAACAAAAAUCUAUUUUCUUGGCAACAAAACUCCUAUUAAUGAACACUAUUAUAAUUAUUUAUAUAUUUCACAUCUAUAUAUAGAAUAAAGCAAAGAAGUUUACAUAAAAUUAUGUCAAGUGGCAUAUUGAGAACUAGUCACUUGGUAUUUUGGCAACCAAAAUCUAGUUUCUUGGCAACAAAAUUUAUUUUACUGAUUAAUUAUUUAUUUUAUAUAUAGAUUUUUAAAUUUUCAUAUCUAUUUUCAUAUUGUGAUAAAAAAAUAUUGAAUGAACACUAUUAUUUAUUUUUAUUCUAUUAUAUCAUAUUUUCAUAUAGUGAUAAAAAUAAUUAUAAUUGACUCUUAUGAAUGAAUACUAUUAUAAUUAUUUAUAUAUUUCAACUCUUUAUAUAUAAUAAAGCAAAAUGUUUGAUGAAUACUUUUGUUUAUGUUUAUUCUAUUAUUUCAUAUUGUGAUAAAAAAAUAAUUAGAAUUGACUCCUAUUAAUGAACACUAUUAUAAUUAUUUAUAUAUUUCACAUUGUGGUAAAAAAUAAUUAAGUUUGCCUUCUAUUUAAUUAGUAUAUAGAUUAUUUCAUAGAUAUGUAAAAAUUUAAAAAAUUCGACAUAAAAAUUUCGUCAAUUGCUCCUAAUUUCACUAUCAUUAGGAGUUAUUCCACAAUUUAUAUUCUAAAUAUAUAUUCCAAUCAAGUUAUAGGAGUAAUUCCACAAUCUGUAUUCCAAUUUCCAAAUAUAUAUUUCAAUCAAUCAAGUAAUUUAAGAAGAUCAUCCGUCAAUUACUCCUAAUUCCACUAUCAUUAGGAGUAAUUCCACAAUUUGUAUUCCAAAUAAUAUUUCAAUCAAGCUAUGGGAGUAAUUCCACAAUCUGUAUCCAAUUUUCAAAUAUAUAUUGCAAUCAAACGAUACUUCUAAUUCCACAACUUGUAUUUCAAUUUUCAAAUAUAUAUUCCAAUCAAUCAAGUGAUUUAAAAAGAUCAUACAAAUGGUAGAUGGAUAUGGUAAGUGAAUUGUAGAUUUCCUUACUCCCAUGGAUGAAAAUUAGAUGACUAUGGUAAGUGAAUCGUAUAUAUAGUAAAUCAAACCUUUACACUGCCAAUCAUUACCAUAUAUGGCUAUGGUAAGUGCUACUAAAUUGUAAUACAAGUAAUCAUGAGCCAGUAAUUUAUAUGGAAAAGUAAUAUAUUUUCAUCAUAUAUUCUGAUCAUAGUUGAUUCUAGCUAAUUUUGUAAAAAAAAAUCAUAUAAUCAUAAAAGAAAAUGCAUAUUUAACAUAAUUAUUAUUAGUUAAGACGAGUGUCAUCUUGUGAACUAACUAUUUGAAUUCUUAUAACAAAAAACUAUCAUUUCAUAACAAAAAGCUAUUUUGUUGAUUCUUUAAAUAUUAAAUAUUAUUUCAUAUUGUGGUAAAAACAAUUAAGAUUCAUUUCUAUUAGAGGAAAACUAUUAUGAUUUAAUAUUAUUUCAUUUAAUGUUAUUUCAUAUUGUGGUAAAAAUAUGGUAAAAAUCAAUUAACAUUUAGUUCUAUUAGAUGAAAACUAUUAUGAUUGUUCAACAUUUAAUAUUAAGAAUAGUAGUUAAUUAUUUCAUAUAUAUAUAUAUACACACACAUACAUACAUACAUACAUACAUACAAUAAAGAAGAAUAGUUUAGCCUAUAAUUAAGUCAAGUAACAUCUUGAGAACUAGCCACUUGACAUUUUGACAAUAAAAAAUUAUUUUAUAAAUAAUUAAUUAUUUUAUAUUUAUUUUAUAUGGUGAUAAAAAAUAACUAAGUUUUAUUUAUAUUGGAUGAAAAAUAUUAAGAGUUAAGGAACAUUAAUAUUGUAGAUUUAUUCAAAAUUUUCAUAUUAUGGUAUAUAUAAAUCAACUAAGUUUGAUUAAUAUUGAAUGAAAACUACAAUUACGGAAAGAGAGAUAAUUAUGUAAUCAAUUAAAUAUAAAAAAUUACAGGAGAUGUGGUGCACAAAAAUAGAAAAUUUUAAGUAUUUACUUUUCAACAAUUCUAUAUUAAUCAGAAUUAAAGCACAAUAUUUACAUUUAAACGAUUUAUACUUGAGUUGUAGGUUAAGAAUUAUAAAUUGCUAGUAAAAUUAUUAAUUCGUAUUAAUUUUCCUUUAUAGAUAGACUUUUUUCAACAUGUUUGGUUAUUCUAUAAAACAUUUACUAUAUUGUCUAUAAUAUUACCAUAAAAAAAUAAUUUACAUAACAUAAAAUCUCUUUUUGCCAUAUUAAUGAAUUUUUAAAAAAAUAUAAAAGGAAAUGAUUUAUAGUAAAUUUCAAUCAAUAUCGAUUAUUUCCUUUUUUAGCUAGAAAUGUUUUUGCUAAUUCUACCUAAACAAUUUAUUAUUAAUUUAUUGCUCAAAAAUGGUAAAUUGCUUACAAAUUAUAAUCUCAAUUAAUUCUCUUUUAUGUAGGGACUCUUUUUCACAAGUAAACAAACUUAGUCAUUUAAAUCACAGCCUUUUGCGUGACCAAAUUAUUUGAUCUAUUUAUUUAUUUUUACUUUGUUUAGAUUUUUAAGUAAAUAUUAAUGUGGAAAAGUUAUUUCAUAUUUUAAUUAUAUGAAAGUUAUUAAUUGAUUAGCAGUCAAGCAACAUAUAUGGUAAAAUAAUACUGUAAUUAAGAGUCAUUUCUAUAUAAAAAUCUCUAUGUAAAAUACUAUAUAUAUGUGNNNNNNNNNNNNNNNNNNNNNNNNNNNNNNNNNNNNNNNNNNNNNNNNNNNNNNNNNNNNNNNNNNNNNNNNNNNNNNNNNNNNNNNNNNNNNNNNNNNNNNNNNNNNNNNNNNNNNNNNNNNNNNNNNNNNNNNNNNNNNNNNNNNNNNNNNNNNNNNNNNNNNNNNNNNNNNNNNNNNNNNNNNNNNNNNNNNNNNNNNNNNNNNNNNNNNNNNNNNNNNNNNNNNNNNNNNNNNNNNNNNNNNNNNNNNNNNNNNNNNNNNNNNNNNNNNNAAAAAAAAAAAAGUUGAUACUAUUUGCUUAAGGAUAUGUCUUUUAUUUUUUAAUUUAUUUCUGAGUAGUUGAUGAUUUCAAGAUUAUGAACCCAACUGAUUUUAUUUUCUUAUUUAGUCUUACUAUUUUUUUUUAUCUUCCAAUUAAUAGUUGCAUUUUCUUCCCUGUAUUUUUCAUUACUUCGAUUUUGUUUACAUUUUUAAAAUUUUUAUUAUCGGUAUGAUUAUUCAUUAAACUUAACUGAUACUACUUUGUUUUCCUAUAUAGUUUUUGAAAGAAAUUAAGAUACAAAAACCUAACAGAAUUACAAAUUAUUGAGUGUCAUUUUGAGAAAAGGUGAAUUUCCCUAUUUGAUUUCAAAUGAGGUUGUGAAUACGUGUGUAUGUGUGUGUAUAUUGGUGAGAUAUUUAUAUACAUGAUAAAGUUGUAUAGUCUAGCCUAAAUUUAAGACAAAUGGCAUCUUAAGAACUAUCUUCUUGAAUUCUUACAAUAAAAAACUAUCAUUUUAUAACAAAAAAACUAUUUUAUUUAUUAUUUAAAUAUUUAAUAUUCUUUCUUAUUUCAUAUUUUGGUAAAAAAUAACUAAUAUUUAUUUCUAUUGGGUGGAAGCUAUUAUGAUUUCAUACUAUUUCAUUUAAUAUCAUUUCAUAUUGUGGUUAAAAAAUAAUUAAAUUUCAUUUCUGUCGGAUGAAAACCAUUACGAUUGUUCAAGUAUUUCGUAUUAAGAUUAGUAGUUGAUUAUGUCACAUUAUUCUAUGUUUUUAUUGAUUAUUUAUUUAUUUAAUAUUAUCUCACAUUUCAUAUUGUGGUAAAAAUAAAUAAUUGUUCAAUUAUUUCAUAUUAAGAUUAGUAGUUAAUUAAUUUAUGUUUUGUCGAUUAUUUAUUUAUUUAUUUAUUUCAUAGCCUGUGUAUGUUUAAAAAAAGUAUGUAAUGUUAGUUGUGCAAUUACUUGACAUAUACGAAAAGACAUAUUGAGUAACUCAAUAUAACAGGGUAAUCAAUUACAAUUAAUAGACAUAAUUGGAAAAUAAAUAUUUUAAUUGAGAUGAGAAAUUUUUAGUAUUAAUGAAAGGAUAUAAAAUUUUGAAUUCAAAUAAAACAAAAAUACAAAUUUUUUGAAAGAUAGUUAAAAAUAGAUAUUACUACUAUAUUGAGACAAGUUCAACUAAUUAAACAAUCUUUGUAUGAAUUUCACUAAUUACAUUUUUGUAUAAUAGAAAAUAGUUAAUUGCCAAUCUUGAAAUAAAUAUUAUCAAAUGGGGAAUAUGAUAAUAUAGAUGUCACCAAUAUGGGUUGUGGUGCAGUGGAUGGAGCUGCUCCACUCUUAACCAGAGGUUGAAGGUUUGACCCUGGGUAUGGAGAAAAUUCUGUUGGAAGCGCUGCCACCUGAAUGGGCCUGCAACGCACAAUCCGGAUUAGUUGGGGCUCCAAUGAGGGCACCGAACAUCGGAUGGAAAAUAAAAAAAAAUAUAGAUGUCAUCCCUCAAAACAUACAAACAAUAUAAAUAAUGAUAUCAUAUUUAAAAAAUUAUGAUUUCAUUACAACUGAGUAAAUCAAGAAAGUAUUACAAGAAAAAGAAUUAAUAAUCAAUUACCAAUCAAACAACUUAUAUGAAAAAAGUUUAAUUGACAUUUUUUAAAAAAAUAUUUCAACUUUAAUCGCAAAUAAGUUUGACCUAUUUUUGUAAAACAAUAAAUGAAUGAAUAUAAGAAACUCCGUAAUUAGGAAAGAAAAUAAUUGUUACCUUAUUUGAGUGAUUAGAAAAUUAUAAAUAUAAUUAAAUAAUCAAUUGACUAUAGUCAAAUUAUAAUUUUAUGAGAAAUUUUUGAGAAAUAAAUCAAUAAUUGAGAAAAAAAUUAAUUGUUACCUUUUUAAAAUUAUUCCCCAAAUUAUAAAGGUAACUAAUAUCAAAUUAAUAUAAUCAAACUAUAAAAAUAUGAGAAAUUUAUGGGAUUGAAUUUUCGAAAUGAUAAAGGUAACUAAUAUCAAUUGUUUUCGUUUUUGAGUCCUUUAUGUAAUUGUACAUUAAUUAAAUAUAAUCAAGAUAAAAAAUUAGGACAGAUUUACGGUAAGCAUAUAUUUAUAAUAUUAAUAAUAAUUUUAUUUUCAUAUCAAAAAUCAGAUUAAAUUGAUGUAAAAAUCAGUUAAUAUUGAGAAUUAUUUUAAUAGAAAAUAUAUGCAAAGUUACGUAAUUGUAUACAUAUAUUGAAACAAAAAACAACGAACAUUGACUACUACUUUAACCAUAAAUAUAUUUUGAAAUUUACAACAUUAAAUUUAAGGAACUUGAGUUUAUAUAUUAUGAUUGUAAAAUUGAUUCUUAUUAAUUGAAACUAAUUAGUUGAUUGUGUAGACGUAUUACAGUUAUGUCGUACAUUAUUUAUUUAAUGGAAAUACAUAUAAUUAAUUAACUUAUUUUGUUCAAUCUACUAUGAACUUAUUAAUUCAAAUGAAAUAAUUUUUAAAUGGUAAGUUUGGACUAUAAAAGAAAGGAGAUUAUUUUGUUGAAAUUUUAAAUUAAUAUGUAUUAAUCUAUUUUAGUGGGGUAUUAGUCUUCAACAAGAUUUUCACAUUUAAAUGGAGUAAUUGUAUGGCUUUAGCAUCUUUUAUGUAUUAAAAAAAUAGGGCCAAAAAAAUAUAAUGCCACAACAUUUUUGGAUUAUUUAAUUCAUUUAUCACAUUUUAUAAUAUUGUUUAUAUCAAUUCAGUGAUGUUUAUAUGGAAAAGUUAAAUUUUGAAAAAAUAAAUAUCUUAAGUUUUAUAAUUUAAGUUAAUUUGUGUACUAAUUUUAAAAAGUUAAUUUAUAAUUUACAUUCUAUUUUUAUUAUAUGGAAAAUUUGACCUACUAAUUCAAUAACACAAAAAUAUUGUCACACUUUUCUUCUCUCUCUUUCUCUCUCUCUCUCUCACUGUUAUUGUUAUUGAUCAUUAGCCUUAUUGGUAUUUAUCAAGCUUUUCAUUAUGAAUAUGUAGAAAUAAGAAUUUUCAAUAGUUUGCUAAAUAUUAAUUCAAAAUUUUCUUCAUAAAUUUUAGGCUUUAAAUAUAAAGGUUUCGACAUAAUAAGAAUCACACAUAUUGAUGAAAUGUAAUCAAUAUUUCAGAAUGAGAGUUCAGCAGAAGAAUAUGCAUAUGAGAAGGUUGAACAAUGUAAUCACAAUGUAACAUAGGUUUGAAACAAGAAAAUCAUUUGUUGAAAAUGAUUUGAAUUAUUCAUAGUGAUUCUUCUUUCUUGAGAAAAUUAAGUUUGUUAAUUUUUUAAUCUCUUUAUAAAAAUAUAAAUUUAUACUAUGAAUAAUAUAAUUGCUUGAUUAUAUAUUAUUUUGAGGUCUUGCAUAAUUAUGAUAUAAAAAUGAUUGAUUUUUUUAUUUUAUUAAUCAUUAUUCAAUAUCAUAUUUUGGUAUUGUAAAAGAUCCGCAUAUUGAAGGACUAUUGUCACUAAUUAAUAAUGAGAUGUCAAGCAGAAGAAACCUAUGAGAAGGUCACUAUAUAUUCUAACAAUAAAGGUUUGAAGCAAGAAAAUUAUUUGUUAAAAAUGAUUUUAAUAAGUUUUUUUUCUUGAGAAAAAUUAUUUUUCUUUUUUGAGAAAAAUAAGUUUGUUACCUGAGUGAUUUCUCUAUCCAAAUAUAAAUUUUCGUAAUAUAGUCUCACUAAAUAAUGAAUCAAUUGAUAAAAAAAAUAUAUUAAUUUUUUUUACGUGAAUGAAAAAUAAAAAUUUCAAGAUCCUGCUUGAGAUUAUUAUGAUUUAUUCGUUUAAAAUUUUAAAAUUUUAAAAGAUAAAUUCUAUCUUCUUUUUUUUAAAAUAUAUUUAGUAUUUUAUGAUCCUAUUUUGACUUAAGUGUGAAUGUUAUAAAUGGUAUAACUAGAACGAUAAUAUUUUUUAUUUAUACUUGGUCUCCUUUCAAUAUUCGUAUAUAGGUAAAUAUUUUUAACAAAUUCAAAUUGAUUUUAUCUAUUUUUUUUUUCAUUUUGAAGUAAUUUAUUAUGAAUUAUUUGUUAUGAACUAUUCAAGAAACUAUAAUUGAUUGAAGAUUUUGACUUACAUUUCAUUAGUUUAUGUUGGCUUAUCUAUUGGUCAAUAAAUAUUUUUUUAUGAUUUACUAUUUGAUAAAUUUGUAAAUCUAAAUUAUUUUUUUAAACUAUCUAUGUUUAAUGAUUACUUUUACUUAAAUAUUAUCCGCACAUCGUGUGGGUACUAAUAAUAGUAUAUAUAUAAAGGCAAAACUAAAAGAAGACAAGAUGCUACAUGGCAGUACAAUAGAAAGCCACGUGCCAGUUUUUAGGACAAGGUUAUGAAUAUUGUAAUAAGAAAUUUGAAUUAAAAUAUAAGAUAUUUUGUAUUUAAAAAUAUUGACUUUAUUUAGAAAAUUAUCAUUAGCUUGAAAUUAGGAACAUAAGAUUAUCCCUUUCAAAUAUAAUUUAAAAUAUAUUCAAAUUAUAAAUAAAAAUAAAAUAUUAAUCUAAAUAAUAAUAAUAAUUAGUAGAAGUUUACCAAGAAAAAAAUAGUAGAAGAAGCAACAAUAUGUGAGAUAUAAUAACAAUAACAAUAUUAAUAAUAAUAAUAAUAUUAGAUUUUAAAAAAUUAAUAUUUUUAAUAAAAAAUGAUAAAAGAGAAAAAAAGGGAAAAACAUAUGAAAAAUAAUAAUUAGUAGAAGUUUACCAAGAAAAAAAUAGUAGAAGAAGCAACAAUACGUGAGAUAAUACAAUAAUAAUAAUGAUAAUAUAAGAUUUUAAAAAAUUAAUAUUUUUAAUAAAAUGAUAAAAUAGAAAAAGGGGGAAAACAUAUGAAAAAUAAUAAUUAGUAGAAGUUUACCAAGAAAUAAUAGUAGAAGAAGCAGCAAUACGUGAGAUAUAAUAAUAAUAAUAAUAAUAAUAAUAAUAAUAAUAAUAAUAAUAAUAAUAAUAAUAAUAAUAAUAAUAAUAAUAAUAAUAAUAAUAAUAAUAAUAAUAAUAAUAAUAAUAUAAGAUUUAAAAAAAAUAGUUUUAAUGAAAAAUGAUAAAAGAGAACAAAAAGAGGAAAACAUGUGAAAAAAGUUAAAAUAAAUUGAUAUUAAAAUUUUAAUAUUGAUAACAUUAAUUUGAAAUAUUCUAUUUUAUUACAUUUAUUUUUUCUUAUAGAAAACACCUAAUUGGUAUCAUUAAUUUCAAGUAUAUAUAUUUUCCAAACUCAAAAUAUAUAAACUAUAAGAUAAUUAUGACAUUUUAGAGUCUUAUCAUUCUAAGAUUCUAACAAAUUUUAAAAUCAUGAAUUUGAAAUACAUUAUUUUUUUCUAAAAAAAGAAAAAGAAAUUUCAUGAUCUUAAAAAUAGAAACCUAUAGUUAAAGAGUUCUAAUAGACUUUUACUAUUUCAAAUUUAUCUCUUUUAAAAUAUAAAUGUUAUAAAAAUAUAUUUAAAUAUAAUUUAUUUACAUAUUAAUGAAAGAUAAAAAUUUUAUCAAAAUAACAAUAAUUAGUGAUAGUAGUAUUACGUAGGAUAUAUUGAAGACGAAGUACUAAUAAUUAGUUGAAGAAGUAGUCGUACAUAUAAUAAUAAUAAUAAUAAUAAUAAUAAUAAUAAUAAUAAUAAUAAUAAUAAUAGAGAAGUAUUAUAUAAGAUAUAAAUCAAAUUAAUUUACUUUUUUAAGAAAAUCAUAAAAGAGAAAAAAAAGGGAAAAACAUAUGGAAAUGUUAAAAUGAGUUAAUACUAUUAUUUUAGAAUCAAUAUCAUUAAUUUUAAAUAUUAUUUUUUAUUUAUUUAUUUUUACUAUAGAAAACUUCUAAUUGAUAUUAUUAAUUUGAAAUAUAUUUUUUUUGCAAAUCCUAAAUAUGUAAAUUAUAAGAUAAUCAUGACAUUUUAGAAUCUUAUCCUUCUAACAAAUUGUUAUCAACAUUCAAAUUUGAAUUUGAACGUAAUUUUAGCAUGCAUGAAUAUACAACUUUAUAUAUAUAUAUAUAUAUACACACCUUCAGUGACACAUAUGUCUGUGUAAGCUUUCUUCUUCUCUAUUUAUUGUUAAUUAUUUUUAAAUUUAAAUUUUAUUAUCUCGAGAGAAUAUUUCAUGAUCAUUUCAUUCACAAAAGUACUAAUUAAUCUUUCUUUACAUUCUUUAUACUAUUUUGGUGCAUACGUCGAAGGUCAGUUUAUUGUUUAUUUUUUAAAGUUACUUUUAAUUUUGAUGUCUCUGCAUAUAUAAAAAUUUAUAGCAAUGAUUAGUUUCUUUUAUUCUUCUUUGAUAUCAUUAUAUAAAUAUAUUCUUUAUUUUUAUAAGAAUAAUUGCAUUUAUUUGUUCACGUUUUUUUUUUUUGGUGAUUGCCCAAGUUAUUUGCUUGAAUCUCGAUUUUUUCAUUUGUCAUAUACUAAUUCGAUAAUAAAAUUUUUGACCUUUGGCUUCUUUUUUUUUUGUGAGUGCACGCAUAUGCAUGCUUUUAUAUUAUAUUAUGUGAAUUAGUUUAGACUAUUAUGAUUUAAGAUGAACAUUGCCAUAGCAUAAGUAAUAGUAAUAGCAUCCUUCUUUGUUCUGAAUUAAAUUAGAAGCUAUAUAAAUUCAAUAGAAAUAAUAAGAUCCCAUAAUCUCAAAAAGUUUCACUUCUUUAUUUUAUUUAAUAAAUUAUGUUUAAAAUAUUCUCUUUUGUUUUUGAAAACUUUAAUCUUAAAAUAUAUCUAUAUUUAAAUUUGAGUUAAUCAGCAAAAUUUUUAUAUUGAAAUGAUUUAAAAAAAUUAAUUGAAAACUUAAUAUUCAAAAUUUAUAUUUAAUACUAAACAAUUUUAAGGUGGUUCCAAAAUUCUAUUAUUUUGUGGAAGUUUUAAACUUCAAAUAUACUUUUUGUAGGAGUUGUAUUAAAGGCAAUAAUAACUCUCUAUGUUAUACACAAAUUUGCACCAACAAAAAAAAUAGACUUUUUAUUUGUAACAACAAAAUACAAGUUUUUAUAUCUUUUUUUUUUUUUUACUUUAUUUGAAAAUUAGUUGUGCUUUUGUGAAUGUUUCUAAAUAUUUACUUUCUUUUAAUCUUUUAUAUAAUUGUUCAACUUUAAAUAAACAUUAAAUUUUCAAAAAAUAAUUAUUAGUUAUCUAUUCUUAUCAAUUACGCGAUUUCUUGCUGCCAAAAUGAAUAUUGUUUGAGUCAUCUAAUUCAAAAACACAUUUAAACAAAGUGGUAAUAUUUUAAUAAAAAAUCUUUGUGAAUUAUGUUUGAUUAAUAUUUUUUUAAUGCAAUUUACAAAAGUGAUUAAAAAAAUUAUAGGUAAUAUUGCUCAUCAAAUUUCUAUAAAUAAAUAACUAUUAAGGUAUGUUAUCAUGAUUAUUUAGCUUUUUAAUUAUUUAUAUCAUUUAUUAUUAAGAUUAAUUAUUUUUAAAAUCAAAGUUACAUACCUAAAUAUAAAUUAUAGAAUAAACAAUGAAAAAUCACCUAAAGAUAAAUUAUAGGACAAACAAAUUUAAUUAGAAAAAUUUGCUUCCACAUCAUUUAAUAAAUUGUAUAAUAUUUUAACUUAAAACUAUGAUCAAAUAAUUUGAAGUACUUGAAGAGUCAAAACAAGAGUAAUCAAAUCUCAUAUUUAAAAUUAGAUUUUUGAAAGAAUUUUAAAUCAUCUUUCAUACUUUAUCUUAAAUUUAUUGGUAUAGUUUGAGUAGGAGUUUUAGGGAGCAGAAAUAAAAUGCGGGGCUAAAGAGGGAUGGUGAAGGUAAACUAAUUACUUUUAAUCCAAUUAGCUGUUAAUUUUGAAUCGACAGACCGAAAUCAGCAACAAAACAUAGUUAUAUAAGAAUAGUAAUUUCAUUCUUUUCAUAACAACAUCUAAAAUUAUUACGACUAUGAUUAGUAAUUUCACUAUUAACAAUUAUUUUUAGUAUUCUAUAAUCAAUUUAAAAUAUGUUAAUAUGAUAUAAUUAAAAUUUUUAAACAGUUUAUUAGUUCAAAAGAAUAAGUUAGUAUUUUUAUAACGAUAUUCUUAAAAAAAGAAGUAUUCUAACAUAGUUUUCCAAAUAAAAUUGAUUUUUCUUUUAAAUGAAUUAAUAACCUAUUUGAUCAAGCUUUUUUUAAGGUUUGAAGCACUUUUUUCUUAUUUAAAGUGUUUGGCCUGCAAAUAGAUGUAACUAGGCAUUUUCUUAUUUAAAGUGUUUGGAAACUAAAAAAUUUUGCUUCUUAAAUAGAGUUGGAGCAGAAGCUAAAUUUUAUCUUUUUCGAAACAAAUAUAUUUUACCAUAAAUACAUAUUUUACCAAAUAUUUUCCUCUUUAAUUCAUUAUCUUUUAUUUUAAACAACGACUUGUUUGAUUACUUUCUAUAUCAACUCAUUUUCUUUUGAUUCUGUUAGUAUAGCUUUGUAUAAUUUAUGCUUUUUCUUUAUAUAUUUUUAGUUUAUUUCAUCAUCCUGUUUAAAUACUAACUCAAUAUUUUCUUUAAUUUAUCUAUAUAUUAUAUUGAUUGAAAACUUUAGUAGUAUAUAUUUUUAUUUUAAUUAAGUACAAGUACUAAACGUAAUUAUAAUCUAUCAUAAGUAAAUGUUUAAAUAUCUUUUUUCUAUUAGUACACUUGCAUCGGAAUUUAGCUCUUUCUUUCAUAAUUUGAUUUACAAAAACUUUUUCUUUAAAAAAAAAGAUUUUUCAAAUACCAUUUGGUUAUUAUAAUUAUUUCAAAUGUAUUGCUAAACAUAAAUUAUUUCACAACAGCUAAUUUUUUAAAACCACUUCUUAAAAUAAGUUGUUCUUAACCACUUGGCCAAGAAGACUCUUAAAAAGAAUUACACAAACAAAUUGAAAUGCGAAAAAUAUUAUUUCUACAGAUAUAUGAUGCAAUUGUCCCAACAUCCAAAGAAAUGGCAGUUGCUCCCUCCUUACAAUAACACUUGUUUGCUCAAAAUUAAUAAAUAAUAGAGGUAAUUUAAUAAUACAAUUAAUUUAUUACUUUCUCUAUUCUUUUUUAUUUGACUUGUGCUUAUAUUUCUAAAUACUUAUUCUUUUAAUAUUUCAAGAAUAGUUUGAAAAAAAUCUUGUUAUUAUACCCUUAUUCAAUAAAUAUAAUGUUAAUUAAUUUGAGAAGAGAUUUAAUUUUAAUUAGGAUUAUAAUGAUAAAAUUAUUUAUACUUUUAUAAAAGUGAGAGAUUUAUUAAGGAGUGUACCCAAUCCAACAGAGCAAAUAAAAAUAAAUGAAAAUAAUAAUUUAAAAAAUAUAUUGAAUAAGGAAUAAUACUUAAUACUAAAAUAAAAUAAAUAAAAAUAGAUAAAUUAUACAUAGAUUUUCAAAUAGAAUAACUAUUGUUAACCUCUACUUUUGAUACGGUCAAUAAUUCAAAAGUCCGAACCAAACUGAAUUAGUUUGAUUCAAUGUUCAAUUUUCAUUUUACAAAAUCAAAAAUUUGAAGUACCGAACCUCAGAAACAAACGUGAAACACCAAAAAAAAAAAAAAAAAAAAAAAACACGCCCACGAACAAGUAUUCUUGGACAGCACUAAUUUUCAAUUUAUAAUAGACGUGGCAUAAACUAUGGCCAAUCCCUCCAAAAAUGUCCCCCUCUCUUCUCAAACACACUCCAUUUUUCUCUUAAUUUCCAUUCCCAAUUCUAUUCAUCUCCUCUAAACCAAUGCCUAAAGCAUCAAAAAUUCCUCUUCUCCAAAAAUUUUGAUAGGGUAAUGAACGUGAAGUUACGUAACGUUUGAUACGCUUGGUAGAAUCAGUUUAGAUCAAACGUUACGUAAUUUCAGGCUAAUUGAUCUAUCAAAUCCUUUGAAGGUUUGUUGAGCAAGCUGCAAUGAACAACGCUCGAUAAAAGUGAGUCGUUCAACUGUUGGGAUCACUGCUUGAGUGUGUAUCAACACAUUUUGACCUAAAACAAACAUAGCGAACCCUACGUGUAUCAUUUAAGCCUACUGAAGAAAGUGUUCUGGAAGCCUCCUGAAGGCCUUUUACGAUGCCACAACUUUGAAGAAAUUGUUCCUCGUUGACUAGCUCACAAAAGACCAAGAACUCUACACUGACCUCAACGACAAGAUUGAAUACAUAAUCAGCAAGUUGGAGGCAAGCUUGAAAAUUAUCGGGAUUCAUAUAUUACAGCAAGUCUCUAAUCUUCUCCAAGAUAUGUUGAAAGCAUGCUAAGGCUAGAAAACACUAUCAAUUAUAUACAUAUUGCUAAGGGAUUAAUGAUACUCAAUCUGUCUUUCAGUCUUAUUUGUGGUUUUGAUUAGGUCAAAUCAAUAGUAGUGGACCUAUUCAGAACCACAAACAAGAAGGCAUGGGAUGCAAUUUAAAAUUCAAAAAUUGUCGUCUUUGCUUAGAUUCCUUAUUUUAACUGCAGCUGUUAUUGGCGCAAAUUUUCUCGAUUUACUAUCUAUCAGUUUAACCCUCGAUGCUCGCGAGACUGCUUUCUCGGUGUUUUGUUGUUUUCUAUGUCGAUGAUAAUCCUCACCAUGCUUCCUAGUAGCAUCUCCCUAGCAAAGGGUCCAUCUACAUUAUUUUUCUUUCAGAGAAACAACAAACAGAUUUACAUUAGUAGAUACACUUUCAUAUUUGCACUUGAUUCAAAUUUCUCAUGUUCUAAUUCAGUUUCAUCGGCUAGAUUCGCUAGAAGUUCUUUUCUACCCUAUUUUUUCUCUUCAAUUAGCUCUCAGAUGAUAUGAUCUUUCAUCAAUUCCCUUUUCCCUUGAAGGCAUUUUCCUUCGGCUCCUUCUGGCGUGUAAUCAUCUUCUUGAACAACACUUCUAUAUAAAUUUGGGCUAGAGAAAUUUCUAUUGAUUUUUCGUUCUUAUUUGAUGCAGUGAGAAGCUUCGAAGGCCUUCUCAGAGUCCAAUGCACACUUAAAGUUAAGUCCACUCGCUAUUGAAUCUUUGCAAUGACACCAAAUAUUGAUCUCUUCUCAAAACUUGACUCACAUAAACAUGAGCAACAACUGUCAGCAAUUCAUAACAGGGUAUCGACACCAUCAUCAUGGGGCCCUCGGCCUUAUCAAUUCGAACCUAUCAAACUUAACUGUACAAUGCAGGAUCUUGUUUGAAUGACCAAUGCCUAAUCAGUUACAAACUGCAUUCACAAAAACAUUGUACUUUGUAUGUGUUAUCCAGAUGACCUUAUCAGUAAUACUUAACUCCCACACAUGAAAGUAGAUCCAUCCAUCUGCACGCACCUCAUUCUUCCUAACCCAUCUAUGGCUUAAAUUGAAUAAACAAAUAACUAACAAGUUGCAACAGAUGCCACAUCAGUUUAAAUUUUCAAACAAUUAUAGACAAUUGUUACGACAGAUGAACAAUCUGUUGCAACAUAUGACAUAUUUAUUGGAAAAAUCAAACAGAUAUAUCCAUCGGUUGCAACAGAUUGUCAAUAUAUUGUAAGUUAUCUAACAGAUGGAAUAUAUUUUGCAACAGAUUACUCACUUGUUAGAUUUAUUUUAAAGCAAUUUUCUUUCUUUUCGAAAUACAAUAAAGAUAAUAUGUUGUAUUUAGAUUCAUUUUUUUUAAAUUUACAUAAGCUGAAAAGUCAGCAGUUUUAUUUAAAAAAAGGUGAACAGUCGUGGUUUUUUGACUAACCCAUUCGAAUUCAAUCAUUUAUAAAUAGAUCCCCCCUUACUCGUUCAUUCUACUCCACUUCUAGAUAUGGUUGAUCCAGAUUUGUACAAGGUGAUUCGUCUCGAGUCCUUGUGGAAACUUGAAAGUCAGAUUCAUGAACUCCAGAGGGACUUGGGUGACUUCAGAGCAAGGCUGAGGAGGGCCCUGUUGCCUUCGGAAUACAAUAAAUACUAAUACUAAUACUAAUAAUAAUACUAAUAAUGAUAAUAAUAAUAAUAAUAAUAAUUAGAUUAUUUUUUUCCUUUUAGUGUAUGUAUUUUUUUGUUAAUAUCAGAUCUACUGAAGGAUAUAUUUUUUUUGUUGUAUAUAUUUGUAUAUAAUGGAUUCAAAAAAUCUAUGUUUGUCGACUUUAAAUUUUUAAUUCUUAUUUAAUAUUUAAUUAUCAUUCUGUUUAUUCCUUAUUCUCAACAUAUCGACGGUUGGAGGUAGGGAUUGAGCAUUUGUGGCAAUAAAGGUUAAUCUGAUGCGACAGAUGGAUCACAUGCUGCAACAGACGAUUAUUAAUAAAAAAAGGGUUAUUAUUGUUAUUGAGAGGGUGAAAAGUCAUGACUCUUUGAUUAUUUAAUAUGAAAAUGAUUCGUAAAUAAAUAAAAAGGAAAUAAAUGUUAAACACAAUUUAUAACCGUAAAAGAAUAGUUAUUUAAUUUUAAUACCUGAACGUGACUUUUCACCAUUUUUAUUUUUAAAGAACAGUUAUAUGAUGAUUGUUAAGAAAAAGGUGAACAAUCGUGACUUUUUGUCUAAAAACAUUCAACAAUGUUGCUGAUGCAUCAAAUUCCCCAUUUGUUGCGACUGAUGAAUCAGUUGUUAAAAGAAAUCAAAAAAACUCCUAAAACAGAUGGUCGAUUUAUUGCAACAGAUGAUGUAUUUGUUGCAAUAGAUGGGUUAUCUGAUGCAACAUAUAUAUAAUCUGUUGACGCAACUCAAUAAAAAUGGUUAUUAUUUUAUUAGAGAAACGGUUAUUGAAAAAAAGUGUCUUCGAUUUUUAAAUUAAGAAAAAGGUUAUUUAAAUUUAAGAACUACUUAAUAAUAAUAAGCUGAAAAGUCAUGACUUGUCAUAAUAAUAAAAAACUUACCAGCUUGAUUUAAUUAAGUCAUUUGUUUUCACAAAAAACAAUAAGUAAAUAAACGAUAAACAUAAUAAAAAAAUGACAUAAAUAAAAAAAUAAUUAUUUAAUUUGAAUAAUUGACGUUAAUAUUAAAUUGGCGUCAUUUCUUUUCACAAAAAAUAUUUUUAUUUAUAUAAUAAAAAGUAAGAAAAUUUGUAUUAAUGAUGUGAUGAUGGUUUUUUAAAAAAGAUAGAUUAUCUGAUGCAACAAGUUGUCUAUUUGUUGCAACUGAUGAUAUAUUUGUUAUCACAGAUGAGUUAUCUGAUGCAACAAAUAUAAAAUUAUUGUCACAACUCAAUAAAAAUGGUUCUUGGAAAGAACUAAUUAAUAAUAAUAAGCUGAAAAGUCACGACUUAUCACAAUAUUGUUUAAUUUAAUUAAGUCAUAACUUUUCACAGUAAUAAAAAAUGUAAUUAAUAGAUGGAGGUGAACAACCACACCCUUUUACCUAACUCAUUCAAAUUCAAUCCUCUAUAAAUAGGUCCCUCAUUACUCAAUCGCUCAUUCAACUACACUCUAUUUAUUUAUUGCAUCUUCUCUUUCAUAUUACAUCUUCCACCACUUUUUCUUCCCUUACUCAGGUAAGUUUUUUUCUUGCUUUGUGUGUAAAUAUACUCAAUUUGUAGUAUACAUUGUAUUACAUUCGAAUUUUUUCUUUACUUUUAUUUUUACGAUUUUUGUUAAUUCAUGUGUAUUCUAGAUAUAGCUGGUCCAAUGUGAGACGUUGCUUUUCUCUAAGACAUUGUGAAUGAACUUCGAAUGCAGGUUCGUGACCUGCAAUGAAAGUUGAGAGUAGUGAAAGCAAGGAUGCUCCGUGAGAUCUGCAGGUUGAGGAGGGCCCUGCUGCUGCCGGUUGAAGAUUGGCCGGCUGGCAAUAAUAAUAAUAUUGAUGAUGAUAAUAAUAAUAAUUAGAUUAUUUUUUUCUUUUAGUCUAUAUAUUUUUAUUUGUUUUUGUUUAGUAAAAAAAUUAUGUUUGAUCGGCUUUGACGUUUUAAUUCAUAUUUAAUUUUCAUACUGUCUAUUAUCUUCUCAACAAACAUGUCGGCGAUUGGACGUAAAAAAUAAUUUUAAAUCCAGUAGCAAUAGCAAGAGUUGAAACAUAUUGGUACCUAUUUAUUGGGUUUGUGGCAGAGGCUGAUUUCUGUUGUUCUAAACAGAUUACUCAUCUGUUGCAACAGAUAAUCAGUAUGAUGCAACAGAUAAUAAGUUUGAUGCAACAGAUAACUAGUCUGCUGCAACAGAUAACUCUUUUAUUGCAACAGAUUAUCCAUCUGUUCGAUUCAUGUUACGGGUACUAUAGAACCAUAAACAUAAAUCCAAUAUAUAAGUCUCCCGUUGCAACAGAUUACUCAUCUGAUGCAACAAAUGAGUGAUCUGUUUAAAUUGUGGGUACUUAUAUUGGAUUCAUGAUUGAAUUCUAUCAAUUGUUCGAAAAAAAUAGUAGUAGCUGUGUACCCAGUUGACAAAUUCGACUAAAAAUCAUAAUUUUACUUACCAAAGUCACCUAUGAAGUAAUGUCAAAGUAGAAAGUGAUGUAGGAAAUAAAAUUUAACCUAAGAAAUUGGUCAGAUAGCAGCAGUAGUGGUAAUAACAACAAUGGUCGACGAGAAAAAGAUGAAGAUGAUAAUGAAGUAGAAGAUGAUGAUAAUGAAGCAAAAGAUGAUGAAUAAAACAGCAGCAACAAUGAACAACAAUAAUCGUGAACAGAGAAAAGACAACAACGGAUGAGAAGAGAGAGAAAAACGCCUUUUUUUACCUCUGUUUCCUGUUAUAUUAACUAACAUAUGGAUCAAAGUGUAAAUUUAAAAACUUAUGGGUUAUUUUCAAACUUCCCCAACUUUCUUAAUCCAUAAUAAAAUAACUGUCACCUACACUCAAUUAUUAAUACUUAAGUCACCUACACCUCAUUUUCAAACUAUUUUGUCACCUACAGCUCAAAGCCCCCUUUUCUUUAUAUAUUUUUAGUUUAUUUCAUCAUCCUGUUAAAAUACUAACUUAAUAUUUUCUUUAAUUUAUCUAUAUACUAUAUUGAUUGAAAACUUUAAUAGUAUAUAUUUUUUAUUUUAAUUAAGUACAAGUAUUAAACGUAAUUAAAAUCUAUCAUAAGUAAAUGUUUAAAUAUCUUUUUUCUAUAAGUAGACUUGCAUCGAAAUUUAGCUCUUUUUUUCAUAAUUUGAUUUACAAAAACUUUUUCUUUAAAAAAAAAAAAGAUUUUCCAAAUACCAUUUGGUUGUUAUAAUUAUUUCAAAUGUAUUAGCUUAAACAUAAAUUAUUUUACGACAGCUAAUUUUUUAAAACCAUUUCUUAAAAUAAGCUGUUCUUAACCACUUGGCCAAGAAGACUUAAAAAGAAUUACGCAAACGAAUUGAAAUGCGAAAAAUAUUAUUUCUACAGAUAUACUCCCUCCGUUUAGUAUUAGUUCACCCCUAUAAAUUUGACAUAUUCAUUAAGAAAAAUAUUUAUUAGGGGUCUAUUUUACUAAAUCAGUCUUAUUAAUUAUGCUUUGAAAAUAUACAACUUAUUUAGUCAUUUAAUGAUAAGAAUAUUAUUAAAAAAAUAUAUUAAAUUAUUUUGAUUUUAUCAAUUGGACAAUUAAAUUAAAAUAAAUAUUUUUUAAAAAAAGGUCAACUAAAAUGAAACAAUGGAGUAUGAUGGAAUUGUCCCAACAACCAAAAAAUGGCAGUUGCUCCCUCCUUACAAUAACACUUGUUCACUAAAAAUUAAUCAAUAAUAGAGGUAAUUUAAUAAUAUAAUUAAUUUAUUACUUCGUUUAUUCUUUUUUAUUUGAGUUGGGGUUAAAUUUCUAAAUACUUACUCUUUUAAUUUUUUAAAAAUAGUUUGAAAAAAAUCUUUUUAUUAUAUUCUUAUCCAAUAAAUAUAAUAUUUAUUGAUUUGAGAAGAGAUUUAAUUUUAAUUAGGAAUAUAUUGAUAAAAUUAUCUAUACUUUUAUAGAAGUGAGAGAUUUAUUAAGGAGUGUACCCAAUCUAAUAGAGCAAAUAAAAAUGAAUGGAGAGGAUAAUUUUAAAAAUAUAUUGAAUAAUGAAUAAUACUUAAUACUAAAAAUAAAAUAAAUAAAAAUAGAUAAAUUAUACAUAGAUUUUUCAAAUAGAAUAACUAUUGUUAACAUCUAUUUUUGAUACGAUCAAUAAUUCAAAAGUCCGAACCAAAAUGAAUUAGUUUCAUUCAAUGUUCAAUUUUCAUUUUACAAAAUAAAAAAAUUUGAAGUAUCGAACCUCAGAAACAAGCGUGAAAAAAAAAGAACGCCUACGCUUAAGAACAAGUAUUCUAGGCAAAUUAAUUAAGGAUGACAAAAAGUUUCUAAACUAAAAAAGAGUGACACAAAUCUUAAAUAUUGAGUAGAUGUGACAAUUUUAAGAUUAGUAUUAAUGACACUAAUUUUAAAAUCAUCAAGUUUUAUUAUUUACAUAGAGAUCCCUACACCAUAUUUACACAAAAAUUCCUAUACCAUCACCACCACUCCUCCUCCUCCACACCCUUUUUGUUGCCACCGCCGCCGCCACCUCCUCUUCCUCCACUAUCAUUAUCACUAUCAUUGUCACCUAUUCCAGAUUCACCAUUAUUUACUUCCUCUACAUAGCUAUCGCCUAUUUUUCUUUUUUCUCAUCCAUCACCAUCGCUAUCAACACCACAACAAAUGUCAUCUUCUUAUUCGGCGUUACCACCAACACCACCACCUCCAUUUUUACCAUAAAUAUCACUUUUUUGUGGGCUCCUCCUUCAACCAAUUUUUUUUUCCAGAAAUUAAGUAAGUAUCGAAGUUGUUGCACCAACAGUUGAAGUUGCUGCAACAACUUCAAUAGUUGCUGCAACAAUUUUAAUAGUUGUUGCAGUAACUUCGAUAAUUAUUGUAACGCAACAACUAAUAAUAGUUGUUGCAACAAUUACCGUAAUUACUGAAGCAACUCUCAUAGUUGUUGAAUUUACUGAAUUAUUUCUUCAUUCAUUUUUUAAAAAAAUCAAAAAUUUUCUUUUCAAAUUUUUCAAUUUUUUUUUUCUUUAAAAAUAGUUCAUGAAAAUUAAAAAAGAAAAAAGAACGAAAUGAAAAGAGAAAGUAAAAGAAGAAGAGAUGAUGUAAGAAGAGGAAAAUCUAGAGAGAAAAAAAAUAAGAAAAAGAAAAUGGUGAGAAAGAAAUUUAGAGAGAAAGAUUGAAAGAUAAGAAAAGAAAAUUGUAAAAUUUAAAAUUUGAAGUUGGAGGACUUUUUAAAAUAUUUUAAAACUUUUAAAAAUUACACUUUAUACCUCAAUUAACUUAAUCCCAAUUUAAAUAAACCUUUUUAACUUAACUGGUAAAAAUUAUCAUUAUUUUUAAUUCAGAGACUUUUUUUUUUUAUGAUUUCCCACCUAAUUUUCUCAAGUAUUCUUGGACAGCACUAAUUUUUCAAUAUUAUAAGAGACGUGGCUUAAACAAUGGCCAGUCCCUCCAAAAAUGUCCCUCUCUCUUCUCAAACACACUCCAUUUUUCUCUUCAUUUCCAUUCCCAAUUCGAUUCAUUUCCUCUCAACCAAUGCCCAAAGCAUCAAAUAUUCCUCUUCUGCAAAAAUCAGGUCCCAAAAAAUGAAAAACAGAUUUUCUUUUAAACAAUCUUGGAAUAAUGUGUUGUUUUGUUUAGUUUAAUCUUGAACUUUUAACAAUGUUAUUUCACGUUUUAACCAUAAAAUUGUAAUCUCCUUUAUGAGUUUGGUUCUUUUUUCUUUUUGAUGCUAAUUAUCAUAAUGUAUUAGCAAAGAAGAGUUUUGACUUUUCUUCUACCAUUUUUUUGUACUCCCUCCGUUUAAAAGAUGAAAAGAAUAGUCUAGUAUGACUUGACGUAAAAGUUUAAGAAAAUAAAAAGAAUUUUGAAUCUUGUGAUCCUAAAUUAAAGUUAUAUCAAAUUUAUUAAUUUGAUCUUGCAAUUUUAAACAUGUCACAUGUAAAGUAAAAUUUUGUUAAUUCAUUCUUUUUUAAAUGAAUUAAAAAGGAAAGAAACUCAUUUUAAAACGGAGGGAGUAAUUGUAAUGUCUAGUCAACUUGCUUGCAGCUCAACUAAUAUUACAAUACUUGUCAUCUACACGGACAACUAUGUGACCUCGUGGUGCUCAAUUCAAUUCAUUGGUCGCUAUGCCACAAUCUUAUGUGCUUUUUUUUUUUUUUUUUUUUUUUUUUUUUUCUUUUAUGACUUCUCUUCUGGGUAUAUGUUUUUGGAAUGAAGGAUUUGUGUUAUCACCAAAAUUUUUAAUUUCAGGUUCUGAAGUUGAUGGCAUUGUUCCUAAGAAGAGAGUGAGAAAAAGGAGAGUGGAGAUGAUAGCCAAGGAGGUGAAGACAGAAUCUCCAGAUGAAAAAGUAUGGCAGUAGUUUUUUCUCCUAUAAAAUGGAUAUCUCAGUUGAUUAUGUUUGUGAUCGUUCUUUUAUAGUUCCAAGGUUUGAUUCUGUAAUGCUGCUUAGUAUUAAUUGUUUUUGGUGAAGUUUGUGUGUGAAAAUAUUGCUUGAAGUGGAGUCACUCUGAGGUUGAUCAGGGAUAUUUGUUAAAAUGUUGUUUCAUAGACCAGCUAAUGUGCAUCUGCAUAGUCUUGACGGUGCAUUAUGUUGUCUCGAGGUCCAGCGAGUUAAAUAUUUAAUUGAAGCUCCACUUGAGGAGGUCACUAGCUUGACUAAGCAUUAACAAGUCGCAUUAUAGAAAAGACCCAUGUUUGUUCCCUCAAAAGGGUUGUGGAUUAGACGAGAAACCUUUCGAGUGUGUAGUGACGCUUUAAGAUAUUCUGGGGAUAAUUGUAAGCUUUAAGCUUUAGUCACUCUAUAUGUCAGAACAAAGAAGUCAGGAUAUCUCCAAGUGCCUUUCAUGGAGGACUGACAAUUCUGGGCUUUGUCAUCUUCGAAAUCUGAUUUCUGCCUAAGAUGGAAUUUCUGUGCAAUGUUAACUGUCUUUGCGAGAAAGGGAAGAUUUUAGAUGGAAGUAGCUGUUGAAGCUUGCAUAAUGCUUUCUCAUAUUAUGUUGCUCGGACUCUUAAAAAAUGUCAAUGGGUGCGCGUCGGAUUCUCCAAAAUUAGUGUAUUUUUGGAGUAUCGGACAUGGGGGCAACAUCGAAAGUGAAGAGUUCGUGCAACUUAGGCUUUCUAUGCCUCUUUUGUGUUUUAUUAAUCCUUUUGGCUAUUCAGCAUAACUAGCAGCACCUUUGUUUUCGCCUUUGCUGUGACCACUAUCCAUCUGGACUUGCCGCUGAAUAUAAUAAAACUCUGAAGCAGCAUAUGCUAUAAAGUGCAAGUAGGUCGAUAUAGUAAGUUGUUAGAGACAAAAAGAGGACCAUUACUGAUGCACAUAUCUCGUUAUUCUAUCUUUCUGCAGUCAUUAUAAAUGUGGCUAUUGAAAGGGCUUUUUAGUAGGUAGAGGAGCUUUAUGUGAAUCCUACAUGAUACACAAAAACGUAAUAAAAUUGUGAUUCUACCUGCGUCUUAUGUAUGCCCAUUCUGAUACUCUAUCACGUCCAUGUAACAUAGGGUAAAAGAGAGCAUUUUUAGAACCUACUAGCUACAGUUUGUUAUCCUUUGUUGUAUUUGAGCUCCUUUCUAAAAUCUGCUUGUCUGAAGACAGCAAGAGAGAUUCUAGAUUUAAUUUUUAUGUGUUAAUUCUUUAAGGUUCUUAGUGUUGGACCCAUAAUAUUCUUUACAGAUUCAUAUCUACUAUUUGUUGCAAUUUUAGGUUUCAUAUAAAUUUAUGCUCCGUUCGAGAGUACUGGAUUCCAAUCAACCGAUCAAGCUAUAUCUGCCCCUGAAGAUAACAUAAAAUAUACCAGGCAUUUCUUUGAAUAUGAAUUAUUGAUUUUUAGCUCCAUUUCUUCACACAAUCUUAUUGUACUCCCAAUCCAAUUUGACUGUCCCAAUUUGCUUUGUUUCCAAAAGAUCACAUUGGCCUCUCUGAGAGCGAUCAAGCACAUUAUUUAAUUUGGAUGGUUACAAGCUGUGGUACGCUGGGAGUGAGAGGCGUAGGAAUGGAGUUGGCAUCUUAGUAGAUGAAGAGCUUAGAGGUCAGGUAGUAGAGGUGAAGAGGAUCAACGAUAGGUUGAUGACUAUUAAGUUGGUCAUUCGGGGGUUUACCCUGAACGUGUGUAGUGCUUAUGCGCCGCAAGUGGGAUCGGAGGGGGAGGAGAAGAUGCGGUUUUGGGAGGCUUUGGAGGAGGUGGUGAGAGGCAUGCUUAGUUCGGAGAAGAUUGUUGUAGCAGGGGAUUUCAACGGGCACAUCGGGGCGUUACCGGGAGGCUUUGGUGAUGUGCAUGGUGGUUUUGGUUUUGGGGAGAGAAAUGAAGAGGGGGCUACCCUAUUGGAGUUUGCGAGGUCCUUUGGGCUGGUGGUGGUGAACUCGNNNNNNNNNNNNNNNNNNNNNNNNNNNNNNNNNNNNNNNNNNNNNNNNNNNNNNNNNNNNNNNNNNNNNNNNNNNNNNNNNNNNNNNNNNNNNNNNNNNNNNNNNNNNNNNNNNNNNNNNNNNNNNNNNNNNNNNNNNNNNNNNNNNNNNNNNNNNNNNNNNNNNNNNNNNNNNNNNNNNNNNNNNNNNNNNNNNNNNNNNNNNNNNNNNNNNNNNNNNNNNNNNNNNNNNNNNNNNNNNNNNNNNNNNNNNNNNNNNNNNNNNNNNNNNNNNNNNNNNNNNNNNNNNNNNNNNNNNNNNNNNNNNNNNNNNNNNNNNNNNNNNNNNNNNNNNNNNNNNNNNNNNNNNNNNNNNNNNNNNNNNNNNNNNNNNNNNNNNNNNNNNNNNNNNNNNNNNNNNNNNNNNNNNNNNNNNNNNNNNNNNNNNNNNNNNNNNNNNNNNNNNNNNNNNNNNNNNNNNNNNNNNNNNNNNNNNNNNNNNNNNNNNNNNNNNNNNNNNNNNNNNNNNNNNNNNNNNNNNNNNNNNNNNNNNNNNNNNNNNNNNNNNNNNNNNNNNNNNNNNNNNNNNNNNNNNNNNNNNNNNNNNNNNNNNNNNNNNNNNNNNNNNNNNNNNNNNNNNNNNNNNNNNNNNNNNNNNNNNNNNNNNNNNNNNNNNNNNNNNNNNNNNNNNNNNNNNNNNNNNNNNNNNNNNNNNNNNNNNNNNNNNNNNNNNNNNNNNNNNNNNNNNNNNNNNNNNNNNNNNNNNNNNNNNNNNNNNNNNNNNNNNNNNNNNNNNNNNNNNNNNNNNNNNNNNNNNNNNNNNNNNNNNNNNNNNNNNNNNNNNNNNNNNNNNNNNNNNNNNNNNNNNNNNNNNNNNNNNNNNNNNNNNNNNNNNNNNNNNNNNNNNNNNNNNNNNNNNNNNNNNNNNNNNNNNNNNNNNNNNNNNNNNNNNNNNNNNNNNNNNNNNNNNNNNNNNNNNNNNNNNNNNNNNNNNNNNNNNNNNNNNNNNNNNNNNNNNNNNNNNNNNNNNNNNNNNNNNNNNNNNNNNNNNNNNNNNNNNNNNNNNNNNNNNNNNNNNNNNNNNNNNNNNNNNNNNNNNNNNNNNNNNNNNNNNNNNNNNNNNNNNNNNNNNNNNNNNNNNNNNNNNNNNNNNNNNNNNNNNNNNNNNNNNNNNNNNNNNNNNNNNNNNNNNNNNNNNNNNNNNNNNNNNNNNNNNNNNNNNNNNNNNNNNNNNNNNNNNNNNNNNNNNNNNNNNNNNNNNNNNNNNNNNNNNNNNNNNNNNNNNNNNNNNNNNNNNNNNAGGACAUGACCCUAGAUAGGAAGGUCUGGAAGACGCGAAUUACGGCAGAGGAUUAGGGCCAGUUUGGGUCGCUAGUGUAGGAAAUUACUUGGUGGGGGUUUUAUUCCUGUUAUGAUUCCGUGUUCCGUGUUCCAUGUUUUAUUACGAAUCUGUGUGCUUUCCUCUGCUUUCCUCUGUUUUAUAUUACUUAUGGGUGCCGUAUUUAUGAUAUAUAAUCUUGUUCUAUGUUUUACUAUGUGUUUGUGUGGUAUCUCGUGCCUUGAGCCGGGGGUCUAUUGGAAACAGCCUUUCUACUUCUUUAGAGGUAGAGGUAUGGACUGCGUACAUCUUACCCCCCAGACCCCACUAGGUGGGAAUACACUGGAUUUGUUGUUGUUGUUGUUGAAUUAGUUAUAUUCAAAGUUUAACUCGAAGAUUACUUUGCAUAUUGUUAACAAGAAAAUCUGGUCAACCCCAUUUUGCGAACUAGUCUAUGUGCUUCACAUACUAUUUCAAAUAUCAAAUACUAUAGAUCCUUGGUUCUUGAGGUUGCAAGAGGGGAAACAAAUCAUCUCUUUUUCAAACUUGUUGCAGUUUCUCAGGCAUCCAGAAAUUGAAGAUUUUGCAAAGAAGAGUGACCAUAUUUAUUCUCAGUCAAGUGAGUUCCAAGACAAUUUCUGUUUCCUUAUUUUUUUGUUGUUCUAGUUUUCAGAUUGAUAAUGAAUGCUGCACGUUUAUUUGUUAGCUAUAUCUCCAUUUAGAAAGGUUGAUUCUGUUGUGAUACAAAACAAACAAGGGAACACGAAAUCACACCCCAAAACAGUCCACAAAUCACAACAAAUCGCGGACCAAAUGGGGACCUCUCUCGGAUUCGACAAACACAACAAGAAUACAAGAUAUGUAGGUUUAUUUGACACCAAAAACAGCCACAACAACAAGAGAUAAUCAACAAUAUGAUAGGAAGAAACAACACUAUGAUAACAAGAACCAACGGUUACAAGAUUACAAGAACAACAAUAAGCAAUGGUUCACUAGACAACACAAACUAAAACAUGAAAUGUAAAGAUAGGAAGUGAGACAUACACUACAAUUAAGAUCCAAGAACCCAUAGACAUAUUCCAUCUAAGGACCCCUAGAACUUACAAUAGCAACACCACACUCUUACGAAGACACGAGAGGGAUUCCACCGCUCAAGCACCANNNNNNNNNNNNNNNNNNNNNNNNNNNNNNNNNNNNNNNNNNNNNNNNNNNNNNNNNNNNNNNNNNNNNNNNNNNNNNNNNNNNNNNNNNNNNNNNNNNNNNNNNNNNNNNNNNNNNNNNNNNNNNNNNNNNNNNNNNNNNNNNNNNNNNNNNNNNNNNNNNNNNNNNNNNNNNNNNNNNNNNNNNNNNNNNNNNNNNNNNNNNNNNNNNNNNNNNNNNNNNNNNNNNNNNNNNNNNNNNNNNNNNNNNNNNNNNNNNNNNNNNNNNNNNNNNNNNNNNNNNNNNNNNNNNNNNNNNNNNNNNNNNNNNNNNNNNNNNNNNNNNNNNNNNNNNNNNNNNNNNNNNNNNNNNNNNNNNNNNNNNNNNNNNNNNNNNNNNNNNNNNNNNNNNNNNNNNNNNNNNNNNNNNNNNNNNNNNNNNNNNNNNNNNNNNNNNNNNNNNNNNNNNNNNNNNNNNNNNNNNNNNNNNNNNNNNNNNNNNNNNNNNNNNNNNNNNNNNNNNNNNNNNNNNNNNNNNNNNNNNNNNNNNNNNNNNNNNNNNNNNNNNNNNNNNNNNNNNNNNNNNNNNNNNNNNNNNNNNNNNNNNNNNNNNNNNNNNNNNNNNNNNNNNNNNNNNNNNNNNNNNNNNNNNNNNNNNNNNNNNNNNNNNNNNNNNNNNNGGGACCUCUCUCGGAUUCGACAAACACAACAAGAAUACAAGAUAUGUAGGUUUAUUUGACACCAAAAACAGCCACAACAACAAGAGAUAAUCAACAAUAUGAUAGGAAGAAACAACACUAUGAUAACAAGAACCAACGGUUACAAGAUUACAAGAACAACAAUAAGCAAUGGUUCACUAGACAACACAAACUAAAACAUGAAAUGUAAAGAUAGGAAGUGAGACAUACACUACAAUUAAGAUCCAAGAACCCAUAGACAUAUUCCAUCUAAGGACCCCUAGAACUUACAAUAGCAACACCACACUCUUACGAAGACACGAGAGGGAUUCCACCGCUCAAGCACCAACGUUUCCAAGCAAUACACAUUCACAAGUGUUUCCACACUUGCCAUGCCCUAGUUUUCGGCCUAGAGAGCUUUCUCUCAAGUGUUCUUACAUCAAUAUUCAGCAACCAAAUGAAAUAAACCCUAACAUGUUCUAUUUAUAAACUUAUUACAAUAAUAGGCAAAAAUGACAAAAGUGCCCCUUAAUGUUAAAUGAACAAAAUGGCUCCCAUAGAGUGCAAUAGAGGGACGGCUUUUGAGCCCUUUUCACACUCCAACUCGUACACUCCGUAGGUUGCAUUCAACACUCAAAAAUGUUCAUCUUCAUGAUUGUACCCGUAUCAUGUUAUUGAAAGAAAAAGGACUUUAAUCUCUAUAUUGUUUGUAACUGUUCUUUUUAAUCAUUGGUGAAAGUUCUCAGGUUUAACCAACCUUAUGAAUAGUAAGACUAAAAUCUGGCAAAUUUGAUGCAGUACAAUCUCCUUCCAACUGGGAAAGGGUCAUUGAAGGGAUACGCAGAAUGAGAUCCUCAGAACAUGCACCUGUGGAUUCCAUUGACCCGGAUGAAGGGAUGAAUUCUCUUCAACCUAAGGUGCAUACAUCUUCGCAGACUUGAUUCUUGGUUUGUGGAAGUGUUCUGGCAGCGAACUGCUCUAGAGUCUUUUUAAGAACAAACUCAACUUGUUGCUCUUUAGGCUUUUGCUUGACAAGAUGGCAGUGUGGGAAGGGCAUUUUUAACAUAUAAAUAAUGGAAAGGCUAGAUGUAGCAUCCAACGAAUGAAAUUGAAAAUUAAAUGAAGCAGUUUCUCUAAAUUGUAAUCCAGAACUGAGUGUUCAUAUAUAAUAAUAAGUUGAGAAUGGGAGAGGCCUUUAAAUCUUUUUUAUGAGUAUGCUUGUAUAUGUUUUAAUGCUUCCUGUCUAGGAUGUUAUUCAUUGUUGAUCUUGUCAACUUAGUUAUUUUGUAGUUGCUGGAAGGGUGUGAUGCUGAUGUCGAUUGCGACUUUCUUUUCACUUUUUCUGUUCACAAUCUCAUCAGGAAAGAAGAUUUGCUGAACUGGUUGGUUCUUUGUUAUCAAGCCAGACCAAGGGUCAUGUUACACAUGGCAAGUGUUAGUUUCAGCUAUAUGAUGCUCAUUAAUAAUGUGAUUCUCUCUUUAUAAUUGGAAUAUAUAUAUUCAUGUUCUCUUUGCGAUAGGCUGUGUCUCUUCUGAAUGAGUUAGUAAACUAUCCAGAAACUUUUUCCUCUUCCUAUCUUAAAGGUUACUUUGAUAUCUCUUUGUCAUCUUACUACCUAAGUUCUAUUUAUUUUGUCAUCAUGAUCAUCUUUUGCUGAGUAUGUCAAACUCCUUGCUUUUGUAGCUAGUGACUUCUAUUCUUGAUAACCCCCAUUUCUUUACGCCCUCAUCCUCAUAGAGUAACUUGUCAUAAAAAACGAAGUCAAAAUGGUAUAGCUAGGAAAAUACCAAUAUUUGAUUUGCAACAAUGCUCCCUCACAUCCACCUUCUGGGGAGAUGAUAACUUGAAGUCAGAUAUUACUUUUUUCAUUGAACGUGUUCCACAAUUUUAUGAUUCUUCUCUGACUUCCUGUUGGUAUGUAAUGAAGUCCUCUGAAUCUGCAGAAGCGACCCAACGGCUCCUCGAAAAUGGUCUGCUGAGUGCUGAGACAAUGGAUAAAGCUGAUGAAGCAACCAUAAAGAGCUUGAUUUACCCGGUAUGCAUUCAAUAAAGUUAGUUUAUGAUAAUACUGUAUUCAUGCUUGUCCCAUAUAAAUUUGUCAUUUGCCCUCACUCUGAAUUACUUAAACAACCUUUUAUUGUCAGGUUGGAUUUUACACAAGAAAGGCUCGGCAGCUUAAACAAGUUGCAAAGAUUUGUCUCUCUAAAUAUGAUGGAGACAUUCCUAGUACAUUGGAUGAUUUGCUUCUACUUCCAGGUGUUGGUCCGAAGAUAGCUCACCUGGUAGGAAGUUAUGCUUCUCUCAUUUUCUUUCCCUGCACGUUCCAAGUUAUUUUAAUUUUGUGCUUAGGUUAUGAUUAUGGCCUGGAACAAAGUUGAAGGGAUUUGUGUAGAUACCCACGUGCAUCGUGUUAGUAAUCGGCUUGGUUGGGUCUUGCGGCCUGGAACAAAGCAGGUAUGCUUAAUUCUAUUCAAAGCUGAAGCUUCAUCACUAAUGAGCAACAACUAGAAACUGGGGAAUAUGCUGUGGACUACUUUAAUUAUAAGCUAUGAAAAUAUUAGAACAUUUUUAGAAAGUAAUUUUGCUUGGAUUUGCCUUUGAAAGCCGGUAUCACAUUUUGCAAACCAGUGGAGGGUCUAAGUUCUAAUUCCAUUUUUGAGCAAGAAAUACAGCCGCAUUGUAAGAUUUAACGGCAAAGAUGGAUAACAUAGUAGAUCUAGCUCUUGUUCUGACUUGUCAGAUAGGUGCACUAGCCCCUACCCUCCAUUUUGUCAUCGGGUGCUUCAAAUAAAGAUCUGGCGGUGUGGAAUCCGGUGAUUGAAGGAGUCGAGAAGCGGUGAGCAGGAUGACAGAAAAGAUACUUUUCAAAAAGGAGGGAAGAAAGAGCACACUGUCAAGCAUACAAAGAUACUUCAUGCCAUUAAUACAUGCAUCUGAGAAGUUUGAAAUAUUUGAAGGGAACUUCUUAUGGGAUGCUGCAAAUGGAGUAAUGUUCAUGUAGUGAAUUAGAAAGCUAUCGUGCUCCCGGGCAAAUGGGGAAACUUGGAUCAUAAGACUGGGUUUUCAAGGAAGCAUUGUUUGGUAAAUUGAUAUGGAGAUUUGGGAUGGAGAAGAAGCUUUGAGGGAAAUGCUAGCACAAAAGUAUGGCACAGUGGGUGGAGAACUGGAAACAUCAUAGUUCCCGUGUUGGUGAGGUUUAUGAAAGGGUAUUACGAAGGGAUGGAAUGGUUUUAGUGAAACCGGACAGAUUUAGAGGCACAGGUGGUGUGGAAAGAGUUAGCUGAUUCUUUGAUUCUUCCAACUCAUGUAGAAUCUACGUCCGCACGAGCUCGCAGUCCAACAAAUUUUUAGAACACAUUAGGAAGAUGUUGUUUUAGUGAGAUUUAGGAAGAACCACUAGGAUUGAGAGAUAGGUGAGUUUCAAAACCUGAUUGAUUUACUGUACAAACAGUGUAUAUGCUAUAUCGGAUUUGUGGAGAUCAAGACAGAGUAGGGACAACAUGUUCACAUUUGCGUCUUAUUACAAUAGUUUGUGAAGAGGCCUCACGGAAAUUAGGAUAGGUUGGGAUGGCAUGUUCACAUUUAGGUCUUUUUACAGUAGUUUGUCAGUGAAUAUAGAGUGAUAUUGAAGGCAGCAAAGCUUAUAGUAGUUGCUGCUUCAUGAGUAGAUGUUCCGGCAAAGACAGAAACCAUCUAUUGUUGCUUCAUGUGUAGAGGUUCCUUCAUUAACAAACUCAUUUACUUCAUCAGAAAAAAAAAAAAAAACAUGUAACAGCUCUCUCUGAUUUCAAAUCUCACUGUUUCCUUUGAGUCUGAUGCAAGGAAUUCAUAAUAAUGAUAUGUUUGGAUUGAAAAUAGUAAAUUUUUGAGACAAAAUACUCACAGCACUCCAUUCGUACUGGUUUUACUCUAUCAGGGAACUAGAUCCCCCGAAGAGACUAGAGUCUCCUUGCAGCAGUGGCUUCCUAAAGAAGAAUGGGUUUCCAUUAACUUGCUUUUGGUACGUUUUCCCAUCAUUCUUAUUAUGAAGCAUUGUUGCUUAUCCCCUUCCCAUCUCUUCGUCAUUACUGUCGCAGCUCAACUACAUCUUAUUUUUCACCUUUGUGCAAUUAAAUUGCUUUCAGAAUCAAUGUGAAAAUGUGUGCUUAUUGUUUCUUUGGUAUAUAUUUAGCUGACACCUAGAGCUUCGUUUUGAAUUUCUGUAUCUGACAUCAUUUUUGAACAAGAAACUGCUAUCAGCAACUCUAAAUGUGCUUUAACUUGCUAUCAGUUGGCACUGCAUAACUAUGGCCAACAAUAUAACUACUUGAUCAUUCUCGAAUCUCUCAAAAAGUAUGAUUUUAGGCUUUGGCUAUACUUGAGGUGCCUUUGAACCUGCGCUGGGUGAAAAAAACAGGCCAUAAAUUGAAAUCUUUUUAUCUGUGUACUUUGAGUAAUCCCUUGCUUCAGUUACACAAAACUCUCCAAAUAUUCCUUAAAUAAAGAGCAUAAAUUAUCUAACCAACUUCCUGUACUGGAUUUACCCUAUUACCAUAUCCGCUCUCUAUAUAAGAAACUAUUUUUACUUGUCCACAGUGUUUCUCCAAACAUUCAUUGUUAAAUAGAUACAUUGGACAUACUUAUACUACAAAAUUUUCGAAAGCUUACUUUGCCUCCAUUUGGACGACUUGAAGUAAGUUGAAGAUGAAUUUUCUCUACCUCUCUGGUUAUUUUUCACUUCAGUUUUGUGGCUAUAUCUCAUUAACAGGUAGGCUUUGGACAGACCAUAUGUACUCCUUUGAGACCUCGCUGUGCUAAAUGCACCGUAAGUGAAUUCUGCCCAUCGGCAUUUACGGAGAUAUCAAGCCCAGCUUCUACUUCCAGAAUACGUCCCAAGAAGAAAGUUUGACAAGGUUGUUUGCUGCAAGGUGAUCAAUUUUCAAGGUUUUGUUUUUUCUAGUUAUAAGUAAAUUUGAGCUCAAAGGAUAGUUAGAUCAUAUUAUUUUGUAUAGCAUCUUUUUUGCAAGUUGUUAACUAAAUAAUUUCUACAGAGCGAGACUUACACUAUGAUAUUUUGUUAAUCUAAGUAUAUUUAAGCAGAUUGUUUGGUGACCAGUUUCUUGCAGGUACAACAAAAUAUGGAUAUGGAAAUCAUUUUUUUUAUUCUGCUCUUCAAGAUAUGGAGAGUUAUUAACGUUAAAAAAAAUUGCAUGCCACUGUUCAAAUGACAAACAUACGACUCUUGAAGAAAUUAGGCUUGAAAAUUAAUUCUAUGACAAAACUGAAGUUGUUUUAAACUGCUAUAAUUCAACAACUAAACGAAUUUUGAUUUGAAGUUUCCAUCUCGCAAGAAAGAAUUAAUUUGAUUAAGCAUAUUAAGGUCAUUUAACUAAUUUAUCUGAAAGUGUUGACUUGAUUUUUUUAAUCUCUUUCAAAUUUAUAUGACUCCACUUGGUUUACAAGAGACUCUUAACUUGUUAGGUAUAUUAGAUUAAGGAAAAUGCGUUGAGCGACUGUAUAUACUUCUCUCUAAUUUUACUUCCUAAGCCUUCUAGUUAUGGCAUGUGAACUAAUAUAAUUUUAGAAAAGAAUAACUACUCUAUUUUCUAAUCCUUCGUCCAAUAAUAGUUGACCAUUAUUGACUUUGCACUGUAACACCCUUUGAAUGUAAUAAAUUUUAUAUUUUGGGAAAUAAAUUAGAUAAUGCACAAUAUUUAAUAGUAGGGGUUAUAUCACACAACAUGUUAAACUAUUCAUUGACUUUUCAAUCAAAUAUUGUUGAAUAUCUAUUUUUAGCAUAGUAAAAAAAUAAAGAUAAAUGGAGGGAGUAGAUUAUUAGAUCACGUUGAAUAUGAAAAGCUAUUUGUUGUUAAGAAAAUCUUAAUAGCUUAAUUUAUUGACUAACUGAACUGUAUAAACUUCUUGGUAAGGAUUUAAUUUCUAUCUUGUACUCCCUCCGUCUCAUAUUACUCAGUAUGUUUGCUAAAACAUUUUGUCUUAAAAUAAUUGACAUGUUAAAAGAAUAAAGAGAUAAUUAGAUAUCUUUCUUCAACUUUACCCUUAGUAAUUUAAUGGACGCAUAAUUAAUUUCAAUAGUUAAUGACAAUAUUUAAUGUGAAUUUAGUGACAUCAUAUUAAUCAAUUUGCACCUCCUAUUAAUUUUUCUUAAAAUAUGUAAAAGACAAACCAGUAUACUUAAUUAAUUGUAGGUCACUUCAACUUAAUUGUGGAAAUCUUGAUAGGUACAAAAAGCAUAAAACUCAAAAGAUAGGGUAGCCUUAAAAUUCUCUACAAGGCUCCACGUAUAUUGGACUAGAUAAAGUUUUCAAUAAAUCAAUGGGUAGGCUCCUCGUAUAUUGGAGUAGACAAAGUUUUCAUUAAAUCAGUGGGUGUACAACAACCAAAUUAAAUUGACAGAGAGAAACUAAGGGUCAGACUCAAGAGUACUUAAACGACUCAAAAAAAGAAGUCUAUAUAUAACUUGAUUUCAAUUACUCCAAUUGAUCACAAGAGAGGUUAAAGUUGGUCCAGCUAAAGGACCAGGACAAACUGGAGCCCUUUGGGAUGAAAAGGGAGUUGGACAAGUAGUCCAGAUUUGUGUCUCCUACAAUCGCGACACAAUUUGUGCAUUGCAAUUCCUCUUCUAUGAUGAGAAUGGCAAAUCAGUUUUGUCAGAGAAACAUGGUGUAGAUAGAGAAGUAUACUUCGAAUCAGUUGGUUUUGAUUAUCCAUCAGAGUUUCUUACUUCAAUAAGUGGUUCAUUUCGUUCAGUGGGGCGGCGUACAACUCUUUUGAGCUCAAUAACAUUCGGAACCAACAAGGACUCCUAUGGACCUAUUGGUUGAAUUAGUUCUAAUGACUUCAGCUUUGACAUGGGAAAUUAUCGUUCUUUUGGUGGUUUCAUGGCAGUGUAAAUCCAGGUGGCAUUGAGAGUAUUGGGGUCUAUCUGAAGAACCAUCACAGCCUCAAUGAUCAAGUUUAAAGUUCUUUCAUUUAAGGUUAAAACUGAAGAAAAAGAAUAAUUCAAUAUUAUGUUUUUUAUGUUAGGUCCCUUUCAAUUCAUGUUUGUUAUUUUGAGACUAGAUUUUGGUAUGUGUUAUAGUUAGAGUGCAGCUUUAUGGAGUAUAUUAAUGGUUACAUAUGAUUCAUUUAAGAUGAUGUAUGAAUUUUGAAAGGUUGGUGGAUUUAUAUUUUCAUUCACUUAAAUCAUGAAAUUACUUAGUAUAUGUACUUGUGGGAGGUAACAAAACAAGUACUCGAUGAAAUAUUAUAUUAGUUAAGUCGCACGUAAAUUGAUUGUUGAUUUUUUUUUUUUUUUUCGUUUUAACAGCAAAGAACCAUAUCUUCUCUGUUGGAAGAGAUGGCUUAGAAAUCCAACAAGUGUAACUCUCUCAUAAAGGUGCUUGUCGGAUCAUUCAGUUCGAUUUUGUAUAUUAGCGGGUUGAUUUAAAGCCGAUGAAAUAAUAUAUAUUUUACUCCAAUGUUGUAUUUCUUUAUGAUUUUUCUUUAGAUGUAGUGGAAAAAUUAAGCAAAUAAAUUCGUUACCUUUAGUUUUUACUGUUGUCCUAUUUUAUUCUAACUCUCAUUUGUACGUUGCUUCUCAUGCAUGAGUUCGAAUAGGCUUCUUCAGUUCAAGAGUAACCUACUUACAUAAUACUAACAAUAUGCAAAUAAAAUGUUCUGAUUUAUACUUGCAUUUCUAAAAUGGUUCUAUUUCGUAGGUUAUUUUCUGUCUCAAGACAUUAAAACAUGAGUAUUAUGCUUGCAUAACUAUCAGACAAACCCAUAACCAAAGUCCAAAUCUUCAUAAAGUAGAAUAUGACCACAAAAUAUGUCACAGUUACACUAGUGUUAUUUUCAAGUGCCUAAUAACAAACUUUCUUUGUCGAUCAUGACUAUGAGAACAUUCUCGAACCCCAUUUCUAGAAUAAAUGGGUAUGUUGUAUAUUAUGUCUAUAUACCAUAUCAACCAAAAAAAUUUAAAAAAUUUCAAUUACGUAUAUACCACAUCAGCCAAAAAAAAAUAAAAUAUUUCAAUUACAUCUCUCAUAGUCAAUAUUUCUUUCCUUUUUCCUUCUUUUUUCCCGCACUCUCAUAAUCAAUAUGGGUUGCGUAUCAGCUCAACUUUUAAAAUAUUGAAAGGCUGAAUUAAUAAGCAAAUUAGACAAAAUCAUGUUCGCGUAAGCGAUUAGAGUCAGAUUCCUAUUUCGAGUUUAAAAGAAGAGGAAGGAACAAAUACUAACGUAAGACACUGAAAGGGUAACCUUAUAAACAAAGAAUCAGAUUCGUAAUUCAUGAUCAAAAUAACAAAUGCCAACAAGAUCGGACACUGAAAUGUAACCAUAUAAAUCAAGAAUCAGAUUCCUAACUCAAGAUAGAAAUAACAAAUACCAACACGAGACACUGAAACGAUCAAAGAAAAGCCUCUUAAUAAUUCAUAUACCUGAUCUUUCACAAGUUAUAAGAAAAUAUGGAAAUGAUCAAAGUUGGUCCAGCGGGAGGGGAAGGUAGAAAUCGUUGGUGGGAUGAAAAGGGACGAGGAGAAGUAGCCCAGAUUUUUGUUUCAUACAACUACGACACAGUUUAUUCACUGCAGUUCCUCUUCUAUGAGAACGACACGUUAGUUAUGUCAAACAAACAUGGCACUAAUGAUUGUGAAAGCUUUUGUGCCGUGGCGUUUGAUUAUCCAACAGAGUUUCUUACUUCCAUAAGUGGUUCAUUUCGAACAUCUUAUGAACACAAUAUCUUGAACUCAAUAUCAUUUGUAACCAAUAAGGGUUCCUAUGGACCAUUUGGAAACACUUCGAUUUAUUCUAAAAUGUUCAUCACUCAGAUAGGAAAUUAUCGUUCUUUUGGUGGUUUUCAUGGUAGCACAAAUUCUUAUGGCAUUGGGAGUAUCGGGGUCUAUAUGAAGCCCAUCACAAUAUCCAUGAUCAAUUUCAAAGAUCUUUCAGUAAAGGUUGAAAAGGAAGAAGUUCAAGAGAAGAUGGUCUAACUCGAGCUGCAUACAUCUUUCACAGGCACAUUUCUUAAAUUAAUAUUUACUAGACUCUGGGAACGUGUGUUGCACGUUUGUCUACUACUAUUGUAUAGCAUAUAACUGUAAAAAGAAAAAUCAACAUUAAUAGUACAUACUUAUUAAACAUGAACAAUUACAAUUUCAUUGUCCAUUUCUAUGCUCAAUGAAUAUCAUCAAUAUGGUAAAGAGUAAAAUAGUAGAGUUCAUCAUUUAAUUUAUAAUUACUUAACCACCAUGUAAAAUAAAAUAUAUCCAAUUGAAAUAGAAGAGAGGGAGUAGUGGGUUUCAACUCCGACGAAUUUAGAGAGUACGGGUAUUUAAUACUAGGGCCAAACGUGAAAAGAAAAUUCUCUUAAAUUGUUAUAAUUGAUAUGGCCAGAGUAAAUUAUUAAGAAAUACUUUGAAAUUUAUCCAAAAUGAAUUUAAGUUACAAGAAUGUGAUUAGUGUAAUUUCAUAGGUGUGAUAUGAGUAGGUGUUGCAUGUGUAGCCUUACUGCGAUGUUGUGAUAGUAGAGAGGUUAUUUCCAAAUCAACAGAAUACAUUAUUAAGAAGAGAAAAGACAUAUUUCCUCCGAACUUAUCCUCCAAACUUAUUUUAGCACUUAAACUUAACUUCCGUUUAUUUAUCCCUUAACAUCUUUAAAGUGUAUUUAUUUUACUCCUAAUGUUGACGUGGCAUUUUCUUAAAAAAAGGGUGCAUUUAUUUAUUAAAAAAAAUUAAUUUUAGUAAUAUUAUAUUUAAAAUAUAAUAAAAAAUUUAAAAAAAAAAAAAAAAAAAAUAAAAAAUAGACACUUUUUUUUUUCUUCUUCUUCAAAACAUCAUCAACAACAAUACUCAAAUUCCUCCACUACCAACCUCUAAUACAUUCUUCACUAUUUCUCUCCUUCAAUUUUUUCAUAUUACUUCAUUAAAACCAUCAAAAAAUAACCACUAAGACACUAAAUUAAAAUUUUUCCUCCAUUAAACACCCAACUUUCAUCUUAAAAAUAAAACAUUCAAUUUUCAUUCAAAUUUCUUAGAUCCAUUUGUUAAAGAAGCACUCAACAUAAUCUUUUCCUCACCUCACUCAGAUUCAUAUGUUAAAGAAAAAAUCUUUACAACUUUCACAUGAAACUAUCCCAAAGAAUAAUUAAUUAAAAACGAAAACAAACUUUGGCUANNNNNNNNNNNNNNNNNNNNNNNNNNNNNNNNNNNNNNNNNNNNNNNNNNNNNNNNNNNNNNNNNNNNNNNNNNNNNNNNNNNNNNNNNNNNNNNNNNNNNNNNNNNNNNNNNNNNNNNNNNNNNNNNNNNNNNNNNNNNNNNNNNNNNNNNNNNNNNNNNNNNNNNNNNNNNNNNNNNNNNNNNNNNNNNNNNNNNNNNNNNNNNNNNNNNNNNNNNNNNNNNNNNNNNNNNNNNNNNNNNNNNNNNNNNNNNNNNNNNNAUAUAUAUAUAUAUAUAUAUAUAUAUAUAAUAUGUAUAUAUAUUUAUAUAUAUUAUAUAUAUAUUUAAUAAAUAUUUUGCUUGUGUGGCUCCGACGUGGCGCUGACGUGGUGCUGAUGUGUGGGUGAGUGUAACACACUCUUCGUGUGAGAGUGGUAUUAUAUAUUAAGGGGUGGAAUAAAUAUACUUUAAAGAUGUUAAGGGGGAGAAAUAAACGGAAGUUAAGUUUAAGUGAUAAAGUGAGUUUAGAGGACAAGUUCAGGGGGGAAAAAAUGUCUUUUCUCUAUUAAAAAUGGUAAAUACUUUAUUCGUUUUCUUUUACUUGUCACGUUUUAACUUGACACAUCUAUUAAGAAAAAUAAUUAAUGACAUGACUAUUUUACCAUAGUACCCUAUUAAAUGAUGUUUAUAUUAUAUCUUAAAAUUCUUUUGGAGAAAAAUUAAUUAAUGCUAAAGAUAAAAUAGAAAAAAAAUUGUCUUCUUUUGAUAUGUCAAAAAUAAUAAAUUAGAAAUCAAAUUAAAAAAAUUAGUCACAACUAAAAGUGAACAUUGAAAGUACUCACCUAACAUCAAAUUAAAAUUGAAAUGUAGAUAUAAACGAAGAGUCAGAUUCUUAUUUCUAGAUUAGAAGAACAAAUGCCAACAUGCACACUGAAAGGCCUCCUAGUAUUGAAACGUCUCAUUGAAAAACAUAUCUAUAUGUAUACCCUCAAUGAUCAAGUCUAAAGAUCCUUCAUUUAAGGUUAAAGUGAAGGAAAAGAAUAAUUCAAUAUUUUGUUCUUCAUGUAAGGUCCCUUUCAAUUGAUGUCUGUUAUUUUGAGACUAGGAUUUUGGUGUGUGUUAUAUAUAGUGGAAAAGUUAAACUUUUUGUGUCCAAUAUUUCAUGUGUUAUCUUUGUUCUUUAAAAUGUGAAUGUCUUAGGAAAGUUGUAGUGUCUCUACAAUAAGGGUCGUAGUGUAGUGGAGUGAUAAAUAUUUCUUCAUCCUUAACUAAAGGUCUCGGAUUUAAGUUUUACAAUGUUAGGAAAUGCUUUACUCUCAAAUGUAAAACUUCUCGGUGCAAAUUUAAAUUUAUUCAGGCUUCAAUGUGUAUACCAAACACAGAGUGAAAAAAAUAAAUCGAAGUCCUAUUUCCCACAUUACCAACCCCCUAAUGUUCAACUAUUGCAUUUUGAUCAAUAAGUAGUAGGUCAGCAAAGCAAAUGGUUUCACCCAAAGCAGUGAGGUAAAAAUCAUGAAGAAAUAGUUAGCAUGAAGAAGCAAUCAUGCAAAACAUCCACAAGAAACAAUAGGUAAAGUACACCGAAAUCCUAAGAAACAAAACGAAAAUUACACCAACAAAAUCGGAAUAAAAGGAACUAUUCUUUAACACCCCAUACUUCUCAGAUUUAACCAAGAAUCCACGAAGCAAAAUGAUAGAUCUAUUUUUAUGCUUUAAUUUGAGGACGGUCGAAUUUUUGAAGAUUUAAAUGGGCUGAUGGGUAUUACAUGACGUGAUUUUUUAUCUAAGAAUUACAUAUAUACACAAAUUUAAGUUACAUAAUUACAAAAAAAUCCUCAAUUGGUAAAGUAAUUAUACAAAUCCCAUAAUAAUUACAAAAAUCCCUUUAUUUGGUAUUUUCUCUCUCAUCAAUAUUAUACAUGUUAAAAUCGGUUUUUUGCUUCCGUCUUUAACUCCAUUAUGCUCCCAAUAUCAAGCCGUUUUUUACUCCAUAUUUGAAACCCCUCUUUUACGGCAUUCUAGAAGUAACCUCUACUUGUGGUUAUCAAAUUGUAAGUUAUUCAACAGUUAAUUAUUUUUAAUUUGUACUUCAUUAAUUUUUUAAUUUUUUUUUUUGUUCAACUUUACCAAUUCAGGGAUUUUCCGUUUUUAUUUUUUUUUUGCAUGUUCAAUCUUAUUGUUCAAUCUUAUUCAAGUUAAGUAGUUCAUCUUUUCGUUAUUUUUCAAAUGGUAGAAGUUAGAUCUGAGAUUUUCUUGUUUUUUAGUUCGAUUUAACAAUACAGUUAAGUUAAAAUAGUGUUAAUUGGUAAUGGAUAAUCCUCCAAAUUUUAGUUUAGGAAUUACUCAGUUAGACGCAACUGUACAAGAUAUUCCACUUGAAUUUGUUCCUGCUACAUUUGAUGAAUAGGAUCCUGAUUGGACAGAGAAUCGCUCAAAGCACAGAAACGACCAUGUUACAAUGAAGAAAUUGAAGGAUAAGACUACUUCUAAAUCGAAGAAGUCUACUUCAAAAGCAAGUAAAAAGAAAUUUGAUGAUUCCGGUCAACCACGUCUGCCGAAGGUAUUUUUUUUAGUGUAUUCAUAAUUUGACACAUGUAUAAUAAGACACCAUACAUUAGUGUUUCAUCACAGGAAUGUAUAAUAUAGUUGUUCUGAAAUAUUAUUGUAAAGGUUAUACAUUCUAAUAAAGCUGAUAUUAAUUUUUGAAAUGUAUAAGUUACCCUCAUACAUGUGUAUUUUCUGUUUAUGUUUUGGUCUGACAUAAAUUGUUAGAUGUAUACAUAACCAUCAUACAUUUCUAUAUGUUGUUUAAUUAGGGUACUCUUUGAAAAUUUUAUAUGUAUAAGUUACACUCAUACAUGUUUAGAUGUAUUUUCUUUUUUAGUAUAAUAAGAAUUUGUUAGAUAUAAGUAACCAUCAUACACGUGUAUGUAUAGAAUGGUUAGGAUUGGACUUUAUUAUACAUUAAUGUAAGUGAUUUUUUAAUGAUUAAGUAACUAUCAUACAUCUCUAACAGAUUAUAUUAAUUUUAGAUAUAUAAGUUAACCUCAUACAUUUGUUACUGUAGUGUAUAUGUGGGACUGAAAUUAUUAUACAUUUAAACAGUUUAAUUGUCAAUGUAUAAAUAACCCUCAUACAUGACUAACUGUUGUUUAAUAGGUAACCAUCAAACAUGUAGUGUAUAUAUUAAUCAUCAUACAUUUGUAUAUGUUGUUUAAUAGUUAACCAUCAUACAUGUGUAUGUAUAGAAUGGUUAGGAUUGGACUUUAUUAUACAUUAAUGUAAGUGAUUUGUUAAUAAUUAAGUAACCAUUAUACAUGUCUAACAAAUUAUAUUAAUUUUAGAUGUAUAAGUUAACCUCAUACAUUUGUUACUGUAGUGUAUACGUUGGACUGAAAUUAUUAUACAUUUAAAUAGUUUAAUUGUCAAUGUAUAAAUAACUCUCAUACAUGACUAACUAUUGUUUAAUAGGUAAUCAUCACACAUGUUUAAUAGAUUAUAUUAAUUUUCAGAUGUAUAAGUUAACCUUAUACAUCUAUUAAUGUAGUGUAUAUAUUAACUUAUACAGUUAUAAGUUACCCUCAUACAUGAGUAACAAUUGUUUAAAGUUGGUCUGAUUUAUGUUAUGAAAGUAUAAAUGAACAUCAUACAAUCAUUAACUGUUAGCUAAUUAUAUUAUGUAUUUUUUUCAGGGCAUUAAAUAUCGAAUUGAUAAAGUCCCAUCACACUUAUUGCAUAUGGGGAGUUUAUGUAACUGUGCUUUCGGUGAAGAGAUAAAGGAAUAUUUUGGAGAGGAUGUACUGGGAGCAUUUAAAAAUAUGAUUUUUGACAUAUUUCUGAAUUUGCCACGGUGCAACUGGAUAGGACAGAUUUCAAAUGCCUACUCAUGCUUGAAAUUCAGCAGCAUAACAAGGAUGAGCUUCAUGUUUGGAUAUAAGGGGAAAUCCUCAAAUUCACAAUGCUUGAAUUCGCCAUUAUAACCGGUCUGAAGUGUACCGAUAAUAUUGAUGAUUAUAUGUAUACUUCAUCAUCUAAAUCAGCGUUGAUGUCGAGGUAUUUUCCCGAUAAUAAAGGAGUAAUAACUCAGUCAAAACUGAUAACACGUGUGCAGAUGUGAAACUUUGAUAACGAUGAAGAUGCUUUGAACCUGGCAAUAUUGGUCUUUGUUCAUACAUUCAUAUUUUCUCAGUAUAAGGAAGCACCAAUCAAUGUUGUACACUUUCAGAUUGUUGAGGACGGUUGGUACAUUAACAUUCCAUGGGGGAAGGUCACAUUUGAAAAGUUGAUGAGUUCCUGGCAGCAGAAUUUUAACACUGUGAAGCAGUUAUAUUCAUUGGGUGGAAUACCGCAUGUUCGAAAUGUUUGGAUGUUUGAGUGCUGCUCCGAGGUAGAAUCAAAAACUGCUGUCCGUCAGAGAAACGCUAUUCCUAGAAUACUAAACUGGUCGGUGGAGUGUAUAAGGCCUAAGUACGAAACUUUUAUGUUUGGCAUGUUCACUAAGGUAAUUGUUUAACUUUGUACUUAUUUUGUUUAUUCACGUCAUUUUAUGUAUGUGCAAAUAUUUUAUUUUGAAAUUAUUCUGUCCUGCAUUCUUACAAGAAUGUACAACCUACAACCGACGAAGUUAGCAGGUUGGAUUUGUCCUUUUCAAAAAAUUUUGAGAUAUGUGAUCCAACAACUUAUGCUUCGACAUUCAAUUUUGGAAAUUUGAAAAGGACAACAACUAAACUUCAAUAGUGUGUUGGUACCAUUGCUGAAGAAUUUGGUGAUUUCAGCACUAUACCGUCGCGAAAAAUCCUCAUAAAGGCUGGUUUUAAAUCGCCUGUAUCACCUGACCAACCUUUGAAGAAAAGAAAGACUGUCAUGUUCGAGCAAGAUCAUCAAAUGGUGAUGGAUGAUGAUACAUCUGGACGUGUUCAUGCAGUACAUCAUGGGUUUGAUUUGUAUCGUGAAACGCAAAAGGAUGCAACAGACAAGGGAGAAAUUGGUGUGUUUAAAAUUCAACGUCAUCAUCAUGGAGAAAUUGGUGUGUCUCCUCAGGUCACCAGCAUAAGUCUGUUCCUUCAUCUUUCAAACAGCAUGAAGGAACUUCUAAAUCAAGUUUAGAUGGUGAUGAAAUAAAGAAUUACAUCAAUAAAUGUGUAAGUUUAGUUUCCUUAUCAUACAUCUUUUCUGAAUAGCAUGAUGUGUUUCUACUAAUUUUUUUUAUUAUGUGAUAAGUUUGCUGAAAAAAUGACCGAACUGGUUACACUAAUAUCAAAAAUACCUGCUGAGGUCGUCAAAGCAUUGAAGAAUGAAGAAAAUAAGCAAUCACAAGUAUAACAAUUUAAUUUCAUUAUAUUUUGCAUAACGCUGAUAAAAUAUUCAUACAUUCAGAUUUUUGGUGUUAUAUAGGAGGACAAAAUUGAUGAACAACAAGAAAGUCAAGAAGACGGAUCCAACAAACAGGAGAGACCACAUAAUGAGGAUAUGCAGGUACGUUUUGUCACUUAUGUUGUUUGUUUACUAUAAAUCAACAUAGUUACCUUAUCAAAAAUAAAUUUUAUUUCUUUUAAUACAGCAUGAAAAUUAUGCUAAGGGAUCAAUCAACGAUAUGGAAGUGUCUCGCGAUGAAGAAUCUAAUAAGCAUCACAUUCUUGAAGAGCAACAGUUGCUGGUAUUUUUUUCCCCUAUUACUUGUUACGUACUAAAUUUGGACAGUUUAAUUUUUCAUCGUACAUUAACUUGAAUGUAUAAUGAACAGUUAUACAUUAAACUUACUACAUUUUCCUUCAGCAAAAUACAUGUUAAUUAUGAAUCUCUUCAUAGAAUCAACUAAAACAAGUUUAUGAAUAACUGUUAUUUAAAUCAACUUGUAAUUUAAUUUAGGAUGUGAAUGCGGCCAAUAAAGACGCAGGUCAUGAGGAUGAUUUUGAAAAUGAGGACUGUUCUGAUUUGGAAGUUUUGGAGGUAUCUUUAUGUACAUUAUAUUUAUUUUUUUUUCUAAAAUAUAUGUCUAUAUAAAUGUAGCUUCUGUUAUUGAUUGAAAAAAAGGAUAUUAACCUUAUCGGCUGAAUAUAAAGUUAUAUCGAUCUUGACGCUUUCAAUAUUUUGCACAUUGUUUAACAGUUGUCUUAAUAAAUACAAAUUUUUAUCUUCAUGUAACUUGGAUAAUGAUAAUUAUCACAUAAAUAAUAGGAUGAGAUUAUGACAUAUGAAGAAGAAUGUAGCGAUGAAGAAUUAGGAAAAAAAAUAUUCCAGAUGUGGAAGAUUUGCCGGUAUUCUUAUGUCCCUAAUAAUGUUUGAUUACUACUAUAAGUUUGUAUACACAUGUAGUUUCUUCUAACUUCUUCAUAUUAGGACAGUUAAAUGUAUAUAAAACAUUCAAAUGAAUGUAUCAAGGAGAGUCAUACAUUCAACAUACAAAAAUUUUCAUAAAUGUAAAGGUUGUACUUUAUGAUUAACAUCAAACAUAUUUAUGUUAUUAAAGUAAUAAACUCAUUUGUGCAUCACAUAUGACAUCGUUUGUUAUUACUGAUAUAUUUAUAUAUUCAUAUGCACCCAUUACAGAUAGAACUUUCUUAUCACGUGUGUAAAACAUCAGCUCAAACUUUUAUAUUAUACUUUGAAUAGAUGUUAAUACAUGAUAAUUGUUAUUACAUAUAAGAUGUAAAUCUAACCGCUAAAGAAGAUGUUAAUGAAGUGAAAUUGAAAAAUUAGGAAUCUACUGACGUGACAGAUGGGCAGGUAUUUUUUUUCCCUAACACUUAUUUUUUUAACACAAAAAUAUCGAUCUACGUGUUCGACCUUGUAAAAAUACGUACUGGAACUUAAUGUUAUUUCUCUAGUGCAUAUCAAAUUUUGAAUGUGAAUUUGAAACAAAUGGAAUGUAUUGAUUUUUUCCUCUACUGCAUAUCAAAUUUUACUGAUAUUGAUGCUGUCACGAUUUCUAACAUAAAUGUCGUAAGCAUUAAUAUAGUUACACAUUCAGAUAUUGUAUGUAUACAUUAUAAAUCCUUAUGUUUUCACGUAGGAUGAAGUUGGUGGGACAAUAAUUGAUUCAAUACAAGCAACUGUAGAUACAAUUUUAUUUGGUCUGUCAACACCUUCUACUACAAAGUCAAUAGAUGUUGGUGCUUCAAGUAAAAUGAUCGAAAGACACUGGGACCUUCCAGACAGUCAGAUUCCACCCGAUUUCCUUGAUGCUCAGGUUCGGGAGCUUCAAGCCUCAAAAGUGAAUGCACCUUCCAAACGAGAAAGAAAGAAGUCCAGGAUUUUAAGGUAACCAUACAUUUCAAAGUAUGGUUUUGGCUCUAAAGAUUCUGCUGAUUUCGAUAAAGAGGAGAAGCUGAAGUAUCUUUUGAUGGGUACGCCAUCAACCAAGAUUUGCCGAACGAAUUGAUGAUUGAUUACUCCCAGUGGAUUGUCGUAGGAUUACUGAAAACUCAUUCUGCCAAGUAAGAAAUUUGGUAUUAUUUUAAUGCCUAACAAUACUAUGCCAUCUUAAACUAAACGGUUAUUGUCAUGUGUAAUCAAUGAUUUUUUCUCAGGAAAGAGACAGACAACCAUUAUUCAGUAAAUGCUUCUGGGUUAGAUUACAGUCAAUUGGACUUUGUCUUGCAUACCCACAGUCCAAGAAUUGGUUUUAAUUGAUGUCCGAAUGCAAGACAUGUUGGAACGAUGAGGUAACUUAUUCUAAAUAAUAUCCAUAUCAUAAGUUAUUUUGCUGAAACUUAAUAUUCUACAACACCAUAACAUAUCAUACAUGUAAACCCAUGUAUAAUAACAAAUCAUACAUGUUAUCCAAUGUAUAAUAACAUAUCAUACAUGCAGUAUUUUUCAUUAUCAACUGUUCAACAUUUACCAACAUGUCAUGUAUAAUAACAUGAAACUACAACAUAUCUGUAUAUCAUACAUCUAAUCGACAAGUAAGAUCGAAGCUACAGAUUUCUUUCAAUCGCUUUUACUAUUUUACCCUGUUUUCACUUGUAUCAUUUAGAUGUGAUCUUCUACCACUUGAGAAAUAAAUCAAAGAUUCAGCUGGGUGAUAAUUAUAGAUAUACGACUACAAGCUGCUUCUUUAAAUCAUAUGUUGAGAAGACACAUACUUGCUAUUAUCCAGCGGAACCGGUAGUUGAGUUAUCGACGCAACAAGACUAUGCAGAAUCAAUUGUGGUGGCUAAGAAUGAAGAUUCUAUUGCUAAUAUAAUUCAUGGAUUCUGUAUGCCUGCUGGAUUACCAUGGUAUAUGGUUGAUGAGGUAUAUGUUCCAAUUAACUGCGGUAAAGAAUUUCAUUGGGUAUUGACUGUGAUUGUCUUGAAGGAAAGAUUGAUACGUGUGUAUGACUCACUGUCAAGUAAAAGGAAAACAGAACCUCAUAUUGAAAUACAAAAGCUUGCAGUUAUGCUUCCUACUUACUUGUCAGACAAUGGCUUUUAUGAUAAGACCGAACGAACUAACUGACCAUCACUUGAAGCGUACAAAGGGAAGAUUACUCAGCAAACUGGUCUUGUAAAUGAAAUUUUAUUUGAUGUUGAUUAUGUGCAAAAUAUCCCACAACAAGCGUCUGAUAGUUUGUAAGUAAAUUACAUUUUAUUUUUCAUGUAUAAUAAUGUUUUAAUUGAUUUACUGAUUAUUAUUUCAUUUUUAUUUUUGAAAUCAGGAAUUGUGGUGUAUUUGUUGUGCCUAUGCAGAGAUAUUAAGCGAAGGACUACAAGUUCAUUUAUGUGGGUUUGAUGCUGCAAGUCAACGUGCACGGUAUGCUUCCUUACUGUGGCAUUAUGGAGUGGAAAAUGCAAAAUGAAGGGUACACGAGUGAUAAUGGAGAACCGCCUCGACCAAAGAAAAGUGUAAUCGAAGAAAUUGAAGCAAGUGCAAUUGUUACUUUAGAGUAGCAAUGUUUUCUAAUUGUUGGCAUUGAAAGAACUAUUUCUUAUUUUGGUUGUUAAUGUUACACAUUUCCAGGAUUACUUUCUUAAUGUUAAUGAACAUUUUAUAGAUGUCUUCUUCUUUUUUAAACAAUUGAUUUGCAGUUUCUAACAUAAUACUGUAAUGAUACAAACUUUUUCUUGGUCGAUAUUGAGUUUUCCUUUUUUUUACGGCGUGUAUAAAACAAAAAUAAAAACGCACUCACAUUACUUUUGAACACAUAAUAUUUUUACUAUAACGUAAAUUUUCUUAUAAGUUAAAAUGACAUUGCACUAAUAAUUAGUACGUUACAUAUAUGUAACACAUAACAUAAUACAUGUUGUCACACUUUAUAUUUUCUUAAAUAAAAUUUACAAACACAGUUUACCAGAAUCACUUAUUUAAAGUAUUAAACAAUUUCAUACAAUGAUACAAAUGUAUAAUCAAAAUUAUACAUUCAUAAUUUAACAAAAAAAAUUUAAAUAAAUGUAUAACGUUUAAUCAUUUAGUGUCAUUAAAAUGACAUUUUUUCCUGUAAAAUAUACAUCAAUACAAAGUAUAACGCUAAAUCAUACAUUUCUUACACAGUAACUACUAACGUACAACAUUUCAUAUAGAUUAUGUUUCAACAAUUUUUUAAGUGACUGUUAUAUUUCUCAGGUUACAUAAUGCAUAUACCAAUCAGUUGUAAAUUACAGUGAUAUGUUUACGAAAUAUGAUAAAUGAAAAAUUACACAAAAUGUUCUGUAACUAUUAAAUAUUAAUUGAACAACUGAAACUAAAAUAGCAACCAAAAAUCUUAUUAUUAAUUGUUCCAGCAUUCCAAAAAAAUCUAAUUAAAAUGAUUAUACUACUAAAACCAAACAAACCCUCAACAAGUAGGAAAACAUAUUAUCUUCAUCAUGAUUCCUUUGAAAAGAAAUCGCAAGUCCUACGGUUGUGACCGUCUCAUCAGUAUUUUCCGCAGCGGUUUGAAUUUGAAGACAGUGAUUCACUUGAUUUCAGUUGCCUUCCUUUUUUUGGCCUACCAGGAGGUUUUUGAUAUUUAGGCGGCAAAAUUUCUUCAUCAUCAACAAAACCUGGAACACUCCAAUCCUUCUUUUCUGGCAUUGAAACUAUCGGGAUUUCAUAUGUCUUCGCUAUGGUUUGUGGCCUGUACAAUUCAGAGCAAUAACGACCAUAAUCCUUAACAUCCACAUUUUUACUUUUUAAUACGGUAAUUUCAUAUGGACUAGGUAUUUCAUCAAUUUGCUAUUGGCCACAAUUGCACGUGCCACGCUCAAUAUCUACAAUGUACCUCCGUCCCGAAUCAUAAACACAAUAAAGAUAAUUUCCUGCUGGCUUAACCUGUUACCAAAAAACAUAAUAUAUUUCAGAUGGAAAAUAUUAAUAUACACUCAAUGUAAAACAAAGUUUCUAUUCCAUAAUUAUUCUAAUACAUACCGUCAUCCGCAAAGCUUUAACACCAUUAUGAGUUAGAAUUUCUUCAAAUCUUCUGCCAAGAGUUGUAUUGGUAUACGAUGCAAUUUUGUUGUUCUUACAAUUCCAUGCAGCAAAUAAGAUUCUAACUUCUUCUAGGAAACCUAGAAUAGGAAGUUUUCUAGCCUCAACCAAACAACCAUUGAUACAUUCGGCUAUAUUUGAAGUCAUCAUUCUACCUCUAUUUACAGGAGAGUGACACCGAGCCCAUUUUUCAUACCCAGCUUCCUCCAGAUAUUCCUUAACUCAUUGAUCAACCUUAGCAACCUUAGACAUAAUAUAUUUAAAAUCUUCUUUUUUAUUAUUUAGCCAUGAAAUAAUAAAGGUCACUAAGUCUAUCUUUGCUUUUCCUAAAAUGGGUGCAAACGUUUUUCCAUAAAUGUCAUAUACAAGCUAGAUGAGAGACAUUAGGAUAAACAAUGCUUACUCCUUUUAUGAUACUUUCAUUUCUGUCUGAAACAACACACAUGUUGUCUCUUUCACCAAAUGCCUCUCUAAAAUGUUGAAAAAAAAUAAAUCCAUGCGUUGUCAUUCUCUGAAUCAACGUCAUUCUCUGAAUCAACAACACCGUACACUAAUGGCAUAAUACAACCUACGAAUAAAUUAAACAAGGCAAUCAUUGUUAAAAAAAUAAGUCAACUAUAAAGGUGCUAAUUUUAGCAUCUUUAUGAUUCAUUAUAAAUAAAACAUCAAUGUAUAAGCUAAUAUAAUAUAUAGUAAAUAAAAAAAUAAAAAGAGUACAAAAAAACAUGAACGCACAGUACCUGCACCAUCUAAUGUGCUUGCCGAUACAAAUGUUCCUUUAUAUGGACCGCUUAAAUGUGCCCCGUCAACAACUACAACAGGUCUACAAAAUUCAAAACCCCUAAUCAUCGGACACAAUGCAAUAAACAAGUAUUUAAACUCGUUAUCUACUGCCUUAUGCAUCCGAAUGUGCGAUUGUAGAUACACUUGAUUCAGCAUAUAGAUAUAAUGGGACAUUUUUCUAUAUCCAUCUGCUGGUCCACCUCUAAGCAUCGCAAUCGCCUUCUCUUUUGCGCGACAUGCUUUCAUGUAGUUAAUGUCGACUCCAUAAAAAACCUUCAUCUCUUCGAUAAUGUCCGCGGGGGUGUAUAUUCUUUUGUGAUUGAUAAAUUUUGGAGCAGCAAAUUCACUCACAAAAUUACUUGUCGCAACCACAUUAUUCAACACUCGGUCCCUAAGACUGCAACUAUGCUCCGAAAUAAAUAUUUUAAUCAAAAACAAUUUCGAUUCAUUCAUACAAGACACCUUCAUGACCCACUUGCAAUUUUCGUUACGACAAAUCAGUACAUAGCUGCAUCAAAAUAUAAAAACUUAUUCAUUGUAUUAAAUAAAAUUAUUAAUCUUGAAAAUAGAAAUAAAAUAAACUUUUUCCAUAAACUGCCCAAUUAUAUUAUACAUAGCUUUGAAUGUAUAAUCUACAUUAUACAUACGUUUUUAAACUAAAAAAAAUAUAAUUCAUAAAACACAUUAAUCAAAAAAUUAAAUUUCAGAAAGUAUAUAUUCAUGUUAUCAUUACAUAUCUUCAUCAACAAAAAUAUAUAAAAUUAAAAUACUAAGAACAAAAAAAAAAGACUUUCACUACAACAGUUAUAUUAUACAUAUAUCUGCAUGUAUAAUUAAAAUUAUACAUUCACAUUUUUUACUUAAAAAAUCAGUAAUAAAUCACAAACUAAUUCACAAUCUCUUAAACAAAUGAAUCAUACAUUUCUUUCUGACACGAUUUAAUUAUACAUUAUCAAACACAUAAAGUAUCACAUUAUACAUUCGUAUAUUAACAUUACACAUCAACAGUUCACAAAACUACACAACAUAAAUUUCUUAUAAUAAAAAAAAAUCAAUAUGUUAUAAGAUCAGGACAUACAAUUGAUAUCAUACCUUUUUUAAAAAUAAUCUUAAUUUUUAAAAGGUGGGUCAAUUAAAAUGAAGCGGAGAAUAAAAGAAAGAUCACUUUUAAUUUUGAGUACUCAAAUUGUCGUCAAUUCUUGUUUUAAUGCUUUGGUGUAGACUCUUUUAUAUAAUCACUAGUCCCAUUGCUUGUGCUUCGUGCUAUUUUAGAAAGUUCUAAGUGUGGAUAAAAAUAUGUUAUUACAAUUUCUAGAACUAAAAAAGUACACCGUUUUAAUUUGCUUUAUUUUUAAAUAUAUUUGUUUCAAUUUAGUUGUUCAAGUUAUAAAAUUAAUUCUAUUUUACACAUAUUUUUCCCAUUUUACUCUUGAUAGUAUUAAGUAUGAUCAUAUUUUUCAAAAUUAUUGAAAGUUACAAUUUAAUAUUUUCAAUACUAACUCUAACUAUGAAACUUUAUUUUUUCUUCUCUUUUCAAGAGUAGACUUAUGCGCAUGAUUUGGAAUAAUUGCAUCAAGUUUUCAUGCUUAAUUGAUUAUUGAAUUUUACAAUGUCAAGAAGAAUGAAAGAGUAAAAAUACACUUCUGAUUACUAAAUUUUUUAAUGAGUGUGCCAAGGCUAAAGGGACUAUCUAAUUUGAAAUAUUUACUAUUUAUCCAGUUGACCAAUUGUCUUCAUUUACUGCACUUCCGCAAGAAUAUCAUCAGGGCUAUACGUAUCGAUAAAAAAAUAUUGGUUAAUUAAUUAGGUAAAAUGCUUUAGUGAGUAUUAACUUGACAUUGGCUACCUUAUGUUUGAUUGGGAUCCAGUCCUGUAUCAUUCGGUCAAGUAUUGUCAAUGUCUUUUUUUUUAUCACGCCACAUCAUCAAAAUGAAAUUGGAUUGCUCCAAUUUAUUUGUAUUAAAAUAAGAAAGAUAAUAACCAAUGGUUCUAUUAUGAAGACUGCAUUAUGCUAAAUUUAGCUUGAUCGAAUAGUUGGAAAAAAGGCAACCAUGGCUGUCUGCUUGUUCCUCCUCUUUUCUUCUCCAUAAUUUCAAGCUAAGUUGCUCGAAUUCGAGUGUUGAUGGUAAUUCCACUUCAUCAAGAUAGCGUAAAUGGUACCUCCUCUAUGGUUUACUCCAAGUCAUUACUAUUUUCACUGGUGCUGUGUUCCUUGUGGAUGAUACAAAAAGACAAUACUUGGUAUUUUGUGACACCCACUCGUGUAAAUACACUAGUCACCGAAUAUGUUGUUUUAUUAAGAGUAUAUAAUAUAUGUAUCCAAAAAAAAAAAAAAAUUAAAAAUAUUUUAAUAAGCUUCUUAUCAUCUUAUGAGUCAAUUUGAAUCACAUAUCAGUUGGAACUUUUAAAUGGUUAAAUUGGGCGAGUCAACGUAGUCCUAGUCUGUUUAUAGGCAAAUUAGACAAAUAAUAUUUGCAUGAACAAUCAGAGUAAGAAUCCUAUUUCAAAAUUAAAAGAAGAGGAAGGAACAACUACUAACGUAAGACACUUAAAGGGUAGCCUUAUAGACAAAGAAUCAGAUUCCUAAUUCAUGAUCAAAAUAACAAAAUGCCAACACGAAACCCUGAAAUGAUCCUGUUAAUUCGUAUACCUGACCUUUCACAAGUUAUUGGAAAAUAUGGAAAUGAUCAAAGUUGGUCCAGUGGGAGAAGGUAGAAAUCGUUGGUGGGAUGAAAAGGGACGAGGAGAAGUAGCCCAGAUUUUUGUUUCAUACAACUACGACACAGUUUAUUCACUGCAGUUCCUCUUCUAUGAGAACGACACGUUAGUUAUGUCAAACAAACAUGGCACUAAUGAAUGUGAAAGCUUUUGUGCAGUGGCAUUUGAUUAUCCAACAGAGUUUCUUAUUUCCAUAAGUGGUUCAUUACGAGCAUCUUAUCAACACAAUAUUUUGAACUCAAUAGCAUUUGUUACCAAUAAGGGUUUCAAACCUAAGAUUUAUUCUAAAAUGUUCACCAUUCAGAUAGGAAAUUAUCGUUCUUUUGGUGGUUUUCACGGCAGCACAAAUAGCUAUGGCAUUGGCACUACUAAAAAAAUGGGAAAAAUCUACCAUAAGUGGUCGGCUUUCCCCAAUUUUCGACCAUAAAACCGACCAAAGUGUGUGGUCGGAAAAGUAGUGGUAGUUUUUUAAAAAUCGACCACUUGUGAUCAGUUUUUUUGAAAAUAUAUAUAUAUUUUUAAAAUUCAUUAUUAUUUUAUUAAAAUUAAAAAAAUAAUUUAAAAAAAAACGACCACAAGUGGCAGAUUUCUAUUAAAUUAAUUAAUUAAUUUAUUAGAAAACCGACCACUUGUGGUAGGUUUUCUGCAAUUUUUUUUUUUGAAAAACUAACCACUUGUGGUCGGUUUUUCUGGAUUUUUUUUUUAAAAUAAAAAUCAACAAAUGAUCCAACAUGCAAUACAACAACAACAAACCAAAUGUAAAUACUUUCAGAAGUGUACAACACAUACAAAAUGUCCAACAAAAGUAAAAACUACAACAAUAGUUUCAAAAGUGUACAAACUACAACAAAAUAUCUAAAUUCAAAGUACAACACAUACAAAAGUCCAAAAACUAAAAAUCACCUUCAUCGAAUUCAUCCUCGUCUUCCAUAUCCUCAUCGGUGCUGAUAUCAGCCAGGGAGCGUAGACCUUUUGCAGCCCGAACUGCAUCACCACGAAACGGAAAAUAAUUCCUAUAGUCUGAAUGAAAGAGCUGAACUACUCCUGCAGCAUCCUGAUUUGGGAUAAUGUCUCCUCCUCAUUCUUUUGCGCUCUUUCUCUCUGUUCAACAAUCUCUUCAGUGAGUCCCUACACUUAACCAUUUUCAAGCGACUUCAUCACCGAACAAACCACUUUCAAAACCAAAAAAAUCCCCUUUAAAGUACCUAUACUUAACCAUUUUCAAGUAACUAACCACCUAAACGACAUUCAAAACAAAAAAAUCUCCUUUAAAGUCCCUAUGCUUAACCAUUUUCUCGUAACUAAGUCACCAACCAAACGACAUUCAAACCAAAAAAUAUCCUUUAAAGUCCCUACACUUAACCAUUUUCAAGUAACUAAGUCACCAACCAAACGGCGUUCAAACGAAAAAAAUACCCUUUAAAGUCCCUACGCGUAACCAUUUUCAAGCAACUACAUCACCGAACAAACCACUUUCAAAACAAAAAAUAUCCCCUUUGAAGUCCCUACACUUAACCAUUUUCAUGCGACUUCAUCACCGAACAAACCACUUUCAAAACAAAAAAUAUCCCCUUUGAAGUCCCUACACUUAACCAUUUUCAAGUAACUAACCAACCAAACGACAUUCAAACCAAAAAAAUCCCCUUUAAAGUCCCUACACUUAACCAUUUUCAAGCAACUACAUCACCGAACAAACCACUUUCAAAACAAAAAAUAUCCCCUUUAAAGUACCUAUAUUUAACCAUUUUCAAGUAACUAACCAACCAAACGACAUUCAAACCAAAAAAAUCUCCUUUAAAGUCUCUAUGCUUAACCAUUUUCUCGUAACUUAGUCACCAACCAAACAAUAUUCAAACCAAAAAAUACCCUUUAAAGUCCCUACACUUAACCAUUUUCAAGUAACUAAGUCACCAACCAAACGAUAUUCAAACCAAAAAAUACCCGUUAAAGUCCCUACGCGUAAUCAUUUUCAAGCGACUAAGUCACCAAACAAACCACUUUCAAAAAAAAAAAUCCCCUUUAAAGUACCUAUACUUAACCAUUUUCAAGUGACUAAGUCACCAACCAAAUGACAUUCAAACCAAAAAAAUCCCCUUUAAAGUCCUACACUUAACCAUAUUCAAGCGACUAACUCACCAAACAAACCACUUUCAAAACAAAAAAAUCCCCUUUAAAGUACCUAUACUUAACCAUAUUCAAGCAACUAAGUCACCAACCAAACGACAUUCAAACUAAAAACAUCUCCUUUAAAGUCCCUACGCUUAACCAUUUUCUCGUAACUAAGUCACCAACUAAACGGCAUUCAAACAAAAAAAUACCCUUUAAAGUCCUUACGCGUAACCAUUUUCAAGCGACUAAGUCACCAAACAAACUACUUUCAAAACAAAAAAUCCCCUUUAAAGUUCCUACACUUAACCAUUUUCAAGCGACUAAGUCACCAAACAAACCACUUUCAAAACAAAAAAUCCCCUUUAAAGUACUUAACCAUUUUCAAGUGACUAAUUAAGUCACCAACCAAACAACAUUCAAACCAAAAAAAUCCCCUUUAAAGUCUCUACACUUAACCAUUUUCAAGCGACUAAGUCACCGAACAAAGCAAAAAUCCCCUUUAAAGUACCUAUACUUAACCAUUUUCAAGUAACUAAGUCACCAACCAAACGACAUUCAAACCAAAAAAUAUACUUUAAAAUCCCCACACUUAACCAUUUUCAAGUGACUAAGUCACCAACCAAACCACAUUCAAAAUAAAAAAAUCUUCUAAAAUCCCUACGCUUAACCAUUUUCUCGUAACUAAGCCACCAACCAUGGAUAGACACACCCAAUGUUGCAAUAAUUCCUCAAACAAAAGAUAAACAACAAAUCAGUUUCUUAUCAAAUAUUCACCUAAAUAACUAAAUUUUCUUUUCUUCUUUUUCUUGAGUUCACUAUAAUUAGUUGAACAUUCACAAAAAUGUCUAGAGUGCAUUGUAAGCUAGAUAUUCUUGUACAAUCC